rnacentral:lncRNA from 1 species
UUUUUUGUUUUUUUGAAUCAAAUCGUAAAUGUUUUUUUUUUUUAUAAAUGGAUGGUAAUGAGGGGCCUGGAUUCAAGAAAAGUAGAAGAAGAAGUGUUUGAAGAAGAUGGAGAGAUGAGAAGAUGGAAUGAUAAUAGAGUUACCGGAAGAGUGGCUCUGAUACCACUUGAUACGACCAAAAUAAGGAUCACUCUUUCGGUAAGGUUGAUAUGAACUCAGAUCCGAGAGGAUUGAGAACUGAUGGAUCGAGGGGUGACACUAAGGGUUGCGGAAUAGCCCAAAGAUACUACCAGACUUCGAUCGUUGCCGGAUGUGACGCACCGGUCCAACAAAAGAAGGAUCGAAACUUGGAGAUAACCUCACCAAGAAACUAAGAAGUGUUCUAAACAAAGAACAAUGAGAGAAACUCAUAAAAAAGGAAAAACAAUCUGUUUUAUUUCGUGGCUCUAAGGCCUUAUUUAUAGGAUUACAAGUUGUAGAGAUCCAAAGAAAAAUGUGCUAAAAACAAGACAUUGGAAAUAGAAACAAAGACUUGACUAAAUAAAGUCUUUGACUGAAACUUGGACUACCUCUUCAUAUAGCCACGACCAGGACUUUGAAAGGUGAAGAAUAUACUCCUGAUAUGGGCCAAGACAUGUCCCUUUGAGGCCUGGUCGAAAUCCAUCUUUUCCCUUAGCCAAUAUUUAUCGGUUUCUCCAUUUGGCCCAAACAAGUUCGUUUUUGAAUCUUUUUGAAAACCAUCAAGCCCAAUGCUUUCUUGAACAUUUAGAACAUGAAUAAUAACCUUUAUCAUGAUUGAAUUGACCGUUGGUUCAUCAGAAAGAAGGUUAGCCAUUUCGAGCUUCUCGGGUGGUCUGAAUUCGCGAGAACUGAAGAUCACCUGAUUUGUAAAUAGCAUAACUAUCACAUAUGAACUCCGUUUGAUCUGAUUCUUCUUCAAGGAGCUCCGUAAUUGAGUUGAGAACAUUCUCCAAGUGAUUUCAUGCGUAGAAGCCUCGUGGUUUGGAAGAUAUGAGUCAAACAAUGAACAUAUAUCUUUACUGCUUUCCAUGAUCAAGCCAUGCAUGUCUGUUUUGCCCGGCGCGCUACUCAAGGGCGCAUCAGUUCAGGUAGGAACCGACCCAAUCAAAUUACCCUAUCGGGUCUUGUUGCAGAGGACCCGCGGGUCUUGGACUGACCCGACCCAAACCCGAAACCCGAUGGGUACCCGAAUUAAUAAUGUAAAUUAAAUAAAAUGCAUUAAGGGGGAAUCGAAGACGGGUUAUUCGUCUAGAGAACAUGGGGGUCAACCACUAGGAGACAACAAAUUGUUGUUGUAUCUCGCAUAGUUUAAUAUAUAUACACAUUUUAAUAUAAUAAAAACACAAAUUUUGAAUAAAAUUUCGAAUAUUUUUGGAUAUAUAAAUAUUUUCAGAUAUUUUUUUGUAUUUUUAGGUCUUUUUUAAAUCGAACCCGAACCGAACCCGACCCGAAACCGAACCGAAUCCGAACCGAUAAAUUCUAGUUACCCGAAUGGGUCUAACUAUCUAAGACCCGACCCGACCCGGACCCGGCACGAUCCAAACCGAUCCGGAACCGAGAAUUUAAAAUUACCCUAUCGGGUCCUAAACUCUUAGACCCGAAAGACCCGGACCCGAAAGAACCCGAUCCGAACCCGACCCGACAACCCGAAUGCCCAUGCCUAACCCCAAGAUCCAAAUUAAUAUCCGAAUUUUUAAGAAAUCAGCUUUGUUUGAAUUUACUAUCUCCAACGACAAGAAGACUGAUCAAAGAGGGAAAGCUAAAGUAGGAUACAUGAAAAAGAAAGUGUCACUGCAUCAUCAAACAAAAACUAAUUCCAGAGACGUGUUCAAUGUAGACAUAAGCGGUUUGGUUCCAUCAUUCGGCAAUUCAACAGCUCCUCUAAUUAUGCUCCAGAGGUUGCUACAAACAAGAAUCAGCAAUUGUAACUGAUCCGUUAGGAAAGCUGAAAAAGGAAUAAAAAAUUAGUUGUAGUCAGUGUUCUAAAAAUAGGGUUUAGACAAUGUAUAAAUGUCCACCUAGACGGUAAAUUGAAUAUAAACGAAAUGAUUUUUCUAGAAUGAUUUUUUAAAAAAAAUUGGUUUAGACAUCCGCUUAAGACGUCUGACCACCGCCUAAUCGGUAAAUUGGGUAUAAAUGAAACGAUUUUUCUAGAACGUUUUUUUUUUUUAAUUUGGUCUAUACAUUCAAAAAAAUCGUUCCAGACAUCCGCUUAAGAUGUGUAACCACGCCUACCGAUUUAUAGAAUAUUGGUUGUAGCAAAAAAAAAAGGCUUUGGUUUUGGAUUACCCCGAAGAUAAGCUGGUAAAUAAAUAUACCAACACCUAAACAUAAAAGAAUGCAAUCUUUUUUUUGAACUACAAAAAAAAUGCAUUCUAACCCAUGACAAUUCAUCUUUUGUAAAUUGGUCCAGUGGACACCUCUUAUAGAAAAUCAUUAAUGAAGAAGGUUUUGUUUUUAGAAUUUGGUUCAGUGGGCUUCUCUAUUAUUAAGUUAAGAAAUUCAAUCAACAAAACAAAAACAUAUGAAAGCAUUUACUAGUUUGUAAGAUAUUGUUUUGGAUGUAUUGUUUUUAGAUUUAUAACUAGUUAAUUUACUUUUAUAAAAAAUCUACAUACAAAAACAUAUAAAAUAGUACUCUCUCUGUUCAAUAUGUAGGUGGUUUUAGCCAAAAAAUAUAUUUCACAUUUACACAAUUCAAAACAACUUUUGCAUUAAUUGGAUACUGUGUGACCACCAAUCCAUUUAUAUAUGCUUUUUUUAUUACUGAUUAAAUUUAUAUAUUAAAUGGUAUUUUUCCAAAACUAUUUUUUAAAAGUAAAACUACUUUUAUAUUGAAACGGUGGUAGGAUAUAUCAAUCGUUCCAGAUGACCAAAAAAAAUAUCAAUCUUACCGAUAAAAAAAUGGUUGGAGGGUUAUGUGUAAUGGACAUUUUGGUGGACAAUAACUCCAGCGAACGUAUCAAGUUUGUAGAUCCUAUCAGAAGAAGUUGUUUGCAUCUAUCCGUUUACUUUAAAGUCAACACACGUGCUCUCCUUGUGAUUCAACCGCGAAAGCUUUUUGACUUUUGUAGUUUCCAAACUUUUGAUUCAACAAUUUAUCCGGCUAUGGUAUUAUUUCAAUUUCUGUAGUUAGGCCAAAAUUAAUAUAUCAUCGCCCGCACCAUAGUACGGUCAUUACUCAAUGGCCAGCUUAGCUAGAGAUCAUAAGCAAAGCUUUCGCCGACAAAUUCUUGAUUUUAAAUUUCAGGAAUAUUAAAGAGAAAAAAACAAAAAUAGCACUAAAUUAAGUUUUUGUUCCCAAACUAGCACUCAAAGUCAAAAGUCACAAAAAUAGCACUUAAUGUUUUAUCAAAAGUCACAAACUUAGGGUUUAGAGUUAAAGGGUGGGGUUUAGGAUUUAGGGUUUAGGGUUUAGGAUUUAGGGUUUAGGGUUUAGGGUUUAGAAUUUAGGGUUUAGGGUUUAGAGUUUAGGGUUUAGGGUUUAGAGUUUAGGGUUUAUGGUUUAGGGUUUAGGGUUUAGGGUUUAGAAUUGAGAAAUGAGGUUUUGAGAUAAGAUAUAAACUUAGAAAUGUGUUAUUUUGGUCAUUUUAGUUUUUGAUUGCUAUUUUUGUGAUAUAAACUUAGAAAUGUGAUAUUUUGGACAUUUGCCCAAUAUUAAAUGAAGAAAAUAUGAGUCGCGUUUUGAAUUAUGACACUGAUAGCUGUAAGGCGGUAAAUGUGAUAUAUAUAUUUAUUUUUCUUAAUGACGAACGUGAUAGUUUUUUUUUUUGCCAGACUUGAGAAUUUUCUUUUGUGGAAAUAGUAUUUUAGAUAUUUUCAUAACGUUUAUUCAUAUGACGUUAAUUUACAUAGCAAUUUAUUUCAUAACACACAUGUAUCGAUCACAUGCAAUGUCAUUUAUUUCCUCCUGUCUAGUAGGCGAUGCAGAAACUGAAACUUUUAUUUUCCAUAUGAAACUUGAAUGAUUUUUUUUUUUUAAAGAUCUGGAUACUAAAAAUCCAAAUUUUAUCGAAGCUCUUAAUUACUGAACUGACACAAUAUAGUAUUUUCUUAGGGUCCAUCUUAGAUUACACGUUGGAGCCUCAUCAUUUGUGUGAAGAAAAUGUACUAGUAUGGUUAAAGGAGCUUAUAAUUAGGAGUAAAUGGGAGGGGAGACUAGAGGGCCCCGUUAAUGGUAGACCAAUUUUAAGAGACCAUUUAAGUAGGGACUAACAACUAGCCGUGGGACGGAUCCGGAUAUCCGGGAAAUUUAGGGUAUCCGGAUCCGGAUCCGUCGGAUCCAUGGAUUUAAUAUCCGGAUCCGGAUUCGUGGUAUCCGGAUAUCCGGAUUUCGGAUAUCCGUCUCGAUAUUCUAUUAUCCGCGGAUAUCCGGAUCCGGAUCCGGAUCCGUCAAAAUAAUUAAAAAUAAUUUUUUUAACAAAAAAUACUAUUUUUUUAUAUAUAAUACAUAAAUUAAAUAUUUAUAAAUAUAUUUAUAUAUGUUUAUAAUAUUGUAAAAACUAAAAUAUAAUAUUAUAAAAUUAAUUCAUGUAUAAAUAUUAAUAAAAUUUAAAAAUUUAAUGUAUUUUAAAAAUACGGAUCCGGAUCCGGAUAUCCGGACCUAAAAAUUAAGAUAUCCGGAUCCGGAUUCGGUUUGCACGGAUCCAAGAUUAUACUAUCCGGAUUCGGAUCCGGGCACCCCGGAUAUCCUAUUUUCGGAACGGAUCCGGAACGGAUCUCGGAUCGAAUCCGGAUCUCGGAUAAUAAAUCCCAGGCCUACUAACAACACAGCAGACACCAGAGUGGUAACCUCCUCCUUCUCCCCACUUGUCCACCUGGACCCCCUUCACUAAUUCUCCGUUUAUUUCCCAAUGAACUUGAACUUGAACUUGGAGCAAAGAGCACAAACGGGUACUCAUCUAGUAUUAUCUACGAUGAACUUGAACUUGGAGCAAAGAGCACAAAAGGUUGAACUGACUAUAGUUAAAAACCUCUCUCAGGUUAUGACUGUAUAGUCACUCUACCACAAAUUUUUACUCCAAAACUUAUUUACUCUGUCUACUAGUUAUGACUUAGGAAUACUCAUCUAGUAUUAUUUACAAUGAAUUCGAACUUGAAGCAAAGAGCACAAAUAGUUGAACUGACUAUAGUUAAAAACUUGUUCCUUCACUAUACUUAGGUUGUGACGUAUCACUCUAACAUAACUUUUUACACUCUAACAAUUAGCCGGUCACUAAUAAUUCACCAAUUAAGUUAGGUUAUGACUGUAUCCCUAUGGUUAACUAAUCUAGACUUAUGAUUUAGAUUUGAUGAGUGAAGUUUUGGAGGACAUGAUUUAGGAUUUUAAUAAAUAAAUAAAUACUUAAAUUUUAUAAAUAGUUUCAAAAAAAAAUUCGAAGUUAAAAACAAAAAAAACAAAUUGAAAAGAAAAAUCGAAAAAAUUAUAAAAAGUUAAAAACGUAUAAUUCAAAAACUUUAUUUAUCAUUAUUAUUAUUAUUUAUGUAUAUAAGUAUUUAUAUUUAUAUAUCUAUAAAGUAAGGAUAGAAGAGUCUUUUGUCUUUUUAAUAAAACUUUAUACUUUAAAGUAUUUGUAAAAAUAUCUCUCUAUAAAAAAUAAGCAUAAGAAAUAAUACAAAAUGAGGUAAAACAGAAUUUCCUUGAAAAAUAUACAUUCGGCUUUAUUUCAUAUUUUGGUAAUGUAAUAAAUAAUAAUAUUUUUAUUUUUUUUUCAUCAUUUCAUUUUUGAUUAUUUUUCACUUUUUUACUUUAGGUUACUCUAAUGAAACCAGAACCUUAUGACGAGGCUAUUGUCAUUUUGGUUUUAUAUAUCUCUAUAAAUCUAUAGUUCUACUAAACUUUCGGCGUAAGUACAUCUUAUGUAUAUAUAUUUUUUUAAAUGGCAUAUGCUGAUAUGCAACAUCUUCACUAAUAUCCUACACUAUCAUUAUUUUCCUUCCACUGACAUUACACCAUCUUGUUCGGAUGGUCUUAUCAUUCUUUCUUCUCCAAAGAUAAUUGUUAAUAAAUUAAAUGCUAUUGGAUCAGUACAAUAUACUAAUCUAGUGGAGAGUACGAAUUACGUAUUCAUUUUAAAAUGUAAAUUGGUGAUUUUUUUUGUUCGAGUCUAAUUGGUAACAUUCGUUAAAAAAAAUAUAAUUGGUAACAUAACAAACAAUAGACUAGACAAACGUAACAAAUACUGUUUUAAUCUCAAACGUGCAAAACAUACUAAACCAAUAUACACUAAUAAAAAGAAAAUUAGAAAAGUACAUAAUUAUCUAUCAUUCGAACGUGUCGGUUAGUCAUUUUGGCUUGUUGUGGUCAAGUUUUGGUCAAGUCAUGAUCGUUAUUGGUUAAGUAUCAGCAUAACGGACUCCUAUGGUUCUAGCAGAGGUUAAUAAGUUUUUUUUUCUUCCAUAUUUGUGUGAUCUAUCUUCAGGGUAUAAAUGGUAAAAUCAGUUUAAGCGUUGGAGAUUAAACACAUCAUGCAGAUCAAGCGGGACAAAUGCAGAUCAAGCGGAACAAGCGCAUAACAAGUGGAUCAUGCAGAAGAAAUAUAGAGUAAGCAAAUAAAGUAAUUUAUUAUAAAUUAUGAAUAACAAAAGCAGUUCAAAAUUAUAAAUUAUAUAUUGAAACAAUAAAAACUACACCAAAAUAUCAAAACAAAUAUCUCAAAUGUUGUAAAAUCGAUCGAAAUGCCUGUAGAAUUUUUCAUAAGAUACUUGUACUUCUUCUAUUUUCAUUCUAAUUGAUCGAGUUUUUAUUUGGAGAACCGGAAGGUUACGGUAAUAUUAAACUCUUGGUUAAACUUAUCACCGCAAAACAUUCUACUAGUGGGUGUAGAAUCUUUAAAACGGUAAUUGGUCAUAAAAAUUAGUUGAUCGUACAAUUCAAUAAAUACUCAUUCUCGGUUAAGAGUCCAUUUAAAAUUGUCUUCUCUCAAUAGAUUUACAAAAUUUCAAUCAUUUAGCUAUAUAUUAACUAUUUUAAAACAUAAAAAUUUAUUAAUUACUUAUUCGUGCCGAUAUUUAUGUAGAAAGAUUUAUAUCUUCUUCUUUAGAAAAUCACGUUUGUCGGCGAUUGAACAUCAUGUUUAUAAUUUAAAAAUGACAAAAUAGUAUUAAUGUGAGCUAUAUAGUUUGAACUAAUCAUAAUAAUCGUACAUUAUUUAUAAAAUCAUAUAAAUAUAUUUUAAGUUAAGUGUUUGUAACAAAAUUAUUUAUUGGCCAAAAAAAAAAAAAAAAAACAUAUCAACACCACCAAAUGUUAACGAACGAGAUCUGCAUGUAAAUCUCCCGCUCUUUCUACAAAAAGACAAAAAUUAUUGAACUGCAUGCAGAUCUCCCGUUUGAACUGUUUUUAAGAACAUAAAAAAGUGAAUGGUGACUUAAAUGUGGGAGAAUUGCCUGCGCGGGAGAUCUGUCUUUGUACCACCAUUCCAUUCCAACACUGAUCAGUUGUAAUUAAUUUGGUGACAUCACUAUCGUCGGGUCAACUAACGCCAUGGCGUCUAUGUGUCUAUGUCACGGAUAUAGGCUCUGAUUGGUAACCAUCGCUUAAUCGCGGAAUCACAUAAAUAAUAGUUAAGCUGCAGAAAAAAUUAAUUAAGCGGCGGAAAAUUUUAAAAUUUGUGAAAUUGUGGAAUAUAUAUUAAAUUGAUUAAACUAUUUUAUAUGAUAUUUAAUUUUUAUAACAAAAAAAACAAAUAGCAAUAAUUAAACUAAUGAUUAUAAAUCUGAAAACAAGUAAAAUGUAUUAAAAAUAUUUUAGUUUUUAUUAUAAAUAUCUAGUUUAUCUUUCAAUAUGUUUUAACAAUAGAUUAACAUUUUAUAAUAUAAAAGUUAUAAUAAAUUUGUAUUUACAACAUAACUAUUCAUCAUUAAAAAAUUAUUAGUAUGUAUUUUAAAUUUUAAGAUAGUAUUAACAUAUAAUUGAAUAAUAUAAAAGUGUUAAUUUUGUAAACUUUUCCACCAUAAUCUACUAAAACUCACUUUUCCACUUAAUAAACUUUCUCUUUAUAAUUUUGUCAGCAAAAACGCAGAUUUGCGUUUUUGCGUUUUUUUCAAUUCCGCAACAUUUUUUUGAUUGGUAAAAUACUUGCAGAAUCGCGUUUCAUAUGCCAUUCCGUCAUUCCGCAUGGUUACCAAUCAAAGCCAUAGACGUUGCGCUUCUGUAGAUGCCUCGAUGACCAAUAAGCGGAUGGCGGCUUCCACUUUAACAUUAUUCACAUUUUCUUUUGUCAUGCGACUGGCGCGUACAAUCACGCUAAAGACUAGUAUUAAGAAAAAUCAUUGGACUAAUUAUAAUUACAUUAUUUGCCUGCUGAAACAUUGGUAGAACUUGUAGAUUCUUUGGUAUGUAAAAAAUUAAACAAGCUUCAAACUUUCAAUGCACCAAGCGGGUAUUCUGUGAAAACAUACGCAUAACAAACUAAUCAUUUGACUGAAACUUAUUUUCGUAAUAAUUUUAUUGUUUAAAAAAUGUAAUAUUAAUAAACAUUUUAAUUUACUGAUAUUUUUUUUGUUUCUUAUCAAUUUUAUUGUAAAUUACUAAUAACUAUUAAUACAUGCAUGAACAUCAAUCUAGUUUUGUUAUAAGUACGUCUAUAUCCAAACUAACUUAUUUGUUUUUUUUGUUGAUAUACUUAACCAAGUAUGGUUAUCAUUUAUCAAUCUUGUUUUGUUACCUCACGUAGAAACAACUGUUUAGGAGAAAGGAGUAAGUGUGAAACGGUGAAUAUACACGCACGUAGGUUAAACGCGCCGUCGGCUAACAGCAGCCGAGGACUCAAUGAGACUGUCAAUAAAUUUUUGUUUGGUUUCCUUACCAUUAAUAUCCAUCCUAAAAAAGCUUAUACUAGUUUUAUAUAUAUAACUUCAAAAUUAGGCUGAAACAAGAGAGCUCACAUCUGGAUUCUUUUUCUUUUUGUGUUCUUUACAAAGAAUCAAGCAAAUGGAGUCAUCAUCAACGCUGCUCAAAAGCUUAAACCAGAGAAAGUCACCAUCGUCUCCGACAAGGAAACCACCAAGGCAAAAGAGGAAGACAACGACGACCACGAGCAAUAACAAACCCAUCAAAGUCCGUUACAUAUCAAACCCGAUGAGAGUGGAGACGUGUGCUUCUAAGUUCAGAGAGCUCGUUCAAGAACUGACCGGUCAAAACGCCGCCGAUCUACCUCCGGGCCCCACCACUUUCGCCGCCGCAGAUCCUCACCAGGAGGAGAUGAAUCCUGAGCCGUUGGAUGAAGGGAUUUGUGAGUAUUACUCACCGAUGGAUGAUGAAGUGUUUAAUGCUCCUCAAAUGUCGGCAGGUCUGUCCGCGUUUUUCUCGUCUGGGUUUUACAACGUGAAUGCAUUAGAAAGCAUUGGUUCUCUCUGAAAAUCUUAUGUGUUUUUUUAAAUAAAAAUGUAACACAGAUCAGAAGAAGAAAUCAUCUUAGGGUUUCCUGGAUACCGACAUAUGUAUUUCUGUUUUUUUUUACAAAAAAACAUGUACUCUGUUUUUUCUUGUGGCGAAUUGUUUUAUUUUUGUAUUAGUAAAUAUUUGCGUUCAUUUAGAAGAAGAAAUCUUGCAUUUAUCAUCAAAAUUUGUUAGGUGGUCGAUCUAUGUAUAUAAUUACCUAAAGUAACAUAUUAAAUUUUCAUUAUUGAAACAUAUGACACUUAACAGUUUCAUUUUUGGUGGUAAUAAUUCUGUAAUAAGUCCGAUCUCGAUGUAGAAAAUUAGCAGAAAUGAGACAAAACACAUGUAUAAUGUAUCUUUUUUAUCUUUUGGAUAUGGAAGAUUUUUCUUCGGAUGAUAGAACUAUAUAAAAAAUAAUAAAUUAUUGUACUCUUAAUUCUCAUAGAAUAAUAUGUAGUUUUAAUAUAGUCGAACGUGGAUAUAUGUAUGUCUAAUGCACUACUGGUUAAAUCCCAAAAUAAACUAGAUCUUGUUCCGACCGACCGCACAAAUAUUUAUUUCAGUAAUUUAUUUGGGUUUGUAGUAAAUGUUGUAUUCUUAUUACAUAGUUAUUGUAAUAUAACAUGGUGAAAGAUAACAAUUUUAAAAAUUACAUAAAAUAAUUGCUUUCUUGUUUUACCGUAAAUUGUAUCAUCAAUAUUGGGUCUCAUAUAAAUAAAUCUAACAUUUAUUUAAUUAGACUUAUGUAUAAUAUAUACAGAAAAUAAUUUUUGUAAAUCAAAAGUACGAAAAAAAUACAACGAUGAAAUAGUAUGCUAUUAAAAUGAUACAUUAGUUAUAAAAUUUUUUAUGAAAAUAAAUGGAUUGUUCAACUUAUUUCAAAUUUGUAACAUAUAAACAAUAAAAUUUUAAAAUGCAAAGAAAAUAAAACGAAAAACUGAAUUUAAUUUAUCUGAUAAAGACACUAAUAAUGAGAUUUAGUUUCUGUACAUUCCAUUUAACAAAUUUUGUAAAAUCAAUAAUUGUUAAUGGCUCAUUAGUUCAAAGCACAUAUAUAACUAAUUUUUUUUCCAGGAAAGCUAAUAACAAAACGUGUCUUGGCAACGUGAUAACAACCACUUCUAUCUCUGUUUUCUUUUUUUAUUUGUCGAUGAAUCCUUUUGCUAUCUCUCUAUCUUCUUCGAUGAAGUCAAUGUUAAUCAAUACACGAAACAACCAUGAAAUUCAUUAAUCAUCUAAUCACUGAUUAUUAUAAAGUCAAUACUGGGCUUUACUUUUCCCAGCCCCUCUCUAAUAGUAAGGUUACGUUGUGUCCAAAACAUGUGAGUUUUUGUUCAUGAUGCAUGUAUUUUACCAUCCUGAAAACAUCUGAAAGCGUAUUAGAAAUCAUAAUUAUGAAAAACAUACAAAAAUUAAACGGCUGUAGAACUUACUAUUUCAUAAAGACUAUUUCAAGUGUCUGGUCAGGUGUAUGGGGGUUUUGUUUCGACGAGUGAAUGAGUUUAACUUGCACACGCCAUUCGUUUUUGUAAGGUUUAACCUUGUGAAACAAUGUAAAACUUUUGUUUGUUGCCAUGGUGGUUUGUAUUUAUGAUAGAAGGUGAUAUUGAAAGACGUUUGGAAAUAACACUAUAUAUAACUAAAACCCUUGGGCAAGUGAUUAUCUGCUAACCACGUGAAUUAAAUUGCACAAUAUAUUGGGUGUAUAAAAUAUUAUGGUUAGCAAAAAUUUAGGCAAAUGGUUUGGAUUCUAAUGAUUCACAAUAUUUGAUAUAGCUAUUUGGUGAACUAAUUAUUUGGUGCAAUUGGGAAAAAAAUUCAAAUUUUUUUGGUUACAUUUAAUUCCUAUAAUUAUUGUAAAUUGAAGAGCAAAGUCAAGGGAUAAAUAAUUAUUCUGUUCAAACAAAUUAGGUGAUUCAGUUUCUAUAUCUUAUAGCGAUAUCAAAUAUUUCUCAUUGAUUACAAAUGGAUAGACUUAGAAAGAUAUUAAUGUUUUGACUUUGAAUUUAUUUACCUUUUGUUAAAAAAAGGUAAAACAGUCAAAUUGGGGCUAAUAAUAACAAAUAAGUAAAUUGAUUUUUGGGGCUAAUAAUAACAAAACAAAUAAUUUUGUUUGUUUAUAAAAGGUAGAUAAUUUAAUAAAUAGUAAAUUGAUUGUUAGUCAAUAGUGAAAAAAUUAAUACAAACUUAUGAAUAUAGUAAUUCAGUAAUUGGUUUUAAUUUUAGUUAAAUAAAAACAAAAACGUAAACCUCCUGUUUUUUAAUUUUUUUAAUUUUUCAUGUUUAUCUAUCUAUAUUAUUAAAAGAAAAACUAAUGGUAAUUCUCCAUUGCGUUGUAUACAGGUGGAUUAGCUAUAGGUGAAGAAGAACAAAAAUAUUUUUUAUAGGUUAUAUUAAAAGAAAACGGGAGGUUAUAGUUAAUUGAUGCCAUAAUAUUACCAUUUUUUUUUUCAUUUUUGCCAUUUUUUUGGUUGAAUUAAAAUUAGGAAAAUGCAUUUAUUAAUGGGAAAAGACAACAUUAAUAUAGAGAAAGAUUAUUUAUAAUCUCAGUGGCAUUCUAGUGUAAAGAACUUGCAAAACUAAGGGGUAAUUUAAAUUUGUACUCCCUUUUUAAUAGAUUAGAUAUGUUGGAUAAAUUAUAUUUUUAAUUAUUUAUAAAGAUAUUGUAAAUUUAUAUUUAAUCAAUAAAAUAAAAAUUUAGAUAGAUUCCUUUUUUUUUCUUCAAAAGAUUUGUAUUUAAGGUUAGUAAAAAUUAUCUCAAGGCUUAAUGAAUCCUUUUCAAAUUUUUUGGUGUUUUUAUAUCUUCCUAAAUUAUGAUACUAAGACUCGUUUUCUCGUAUUUAAAAUAUAAAACUCAUUUAUGUGCUAUGUUACAUGGAAUCGGAAAUGGGUAUAUGGAAGCAGAAUCGUAAAAAAGCGUAGAAGUAAGAGUUUUUUAAAAAAAUUAGGAAGCAGAUACGUGUUGUAAGUAUAUAUCCAUAUAUAUAUAUAUAUAAAACAUAAAAAUGAUUUUAUAAAAUUUUUGACUAAAAAUAUAUGAUUGAACAUAAAAAAUCACUUGGUUGAUUUCAUAUAUAAAUUAUAAGAAUAUUAAUAUAUUAAUUUUAUAAACAAAUAUUAAGAAAUUAAUUAUUUUUAAUAGUUCACAAAUAUUUGUAACAAUAAAUUUCAAUAUAUGUGCAAGAUCUCUUAUAAAAAAUUAUUAUGCACAAAGAUAAUUUAUAAUAUUAGUUUUGUUAUUUGCAUAUAUUGUAUUCUUUAUAUUUUAAUACUAUUAAUUUUGAAUUUUAUAUAAAAUAAAACAUAAUUUUUUUUAUUUUAUUAAUGACACAGAGUAUUUCUAAACGGAACCGUGAUUUCUAAACGGAAGCGUAAGUUUCCAACGUGUUUUUAAAUAGUUAUUUUUGGAGACAUAUUAGAAGCGAGAUUCCAGGAGCUUUUACAAGCUUCUAAUUUUGAAUUCGGUUUCGAAACGGGAAGUGGACGUCGGACGCUUCCGUGCUGCCUAGUUUAUGUGCUGCCGAGUUUAUGUGUAGUCAUACGAUAUUUCUGUAGCAAACGUAUAGGGCCUAGAGGCUUAAUAUCAAACGAGGGCCCAAUAUCCAAGGUCUUCUUUCUAAAAUCUAAAUGUUAACGUUGUCGACCAUGUAUUGUUUGACAAAAAGGAAUCUUACAAAAAUGGAGAAAGAUGCUUAUUCAAAUGAAGGAAAUGCACAAAAAUAAAAAAGCAAAACAUGACAAACUUUGAUAAAGCAAACCUUUCACUAUCUUUAUUACUUUAAAGUCAAAACCAAUACUAAUCAAGAUUUUAUUAAUGCAUCAACAUGAACAUUAAACUCAAAGAAAGGAAAGACUAUGGGGGGUUUAGUCAUUAAUAGUUCCUAAUGAUCUUUGCAACCGAAGAGUAUGUCCCCAAGAUCCCACUUACCAACCCAAUCGCUACUAUUGCCGAACUCAGAAUCAUCUGUAUCCCAUAACAAAAACACAACAUAAUUCAGUUUUAGUCUAAGAAUCCCAAAAUUACUUUCAAGAAGUUGAGAAUAGAAGAUUAUACAAAAGCUCAAUGUAUAUAUACCUGUGUUCUUGUAGCUUUGUUACCCAUUAUUCUCAUGAAGCAUAGAGCUGGCAUUAUUAUUGCCUAAGGCACAAUACAAUUUAUGUAAAAAAGAUUUAUAAGUUUUGAUCCAAGAACGUGUGUUGGGUCUUGAUAAGAACAAUAUUUUUAGUAUAUUAAGCAAAUAAGGAGAGGAGAGAUGAUGAAUACUACUAACCACAAGUAUACUGAGAAGAGAUCCAAUCAGAGCCAUCACGAGACCUGUGUUGUGUAGAUAAUAAACCAAUUGCAGAAGAUCAUUAAGGAUCAAACCAAGUUAAAGACAUGCAAGUUCUCAACAUUUCUAGCUUAGCUUUCUUACUUACCAAAAAAUGGGAUAAGGAAAGCAGAACAAACAGACGAAGCAACUAGUGCUGUUCUUAGAAGAAGAAAGCACCAUAUGUUCUCUGAGAUUCUUUCAGGUAACAGCUCUUCUAUACCCCUUGCUAGUGGAUUCAUCAAGAGAGCGUAUUUUGUGAACGGACUCACAACCUGAAACAAAAAAAAAGAUAAAGACAAAACAGAACCAAGAUGGAGUUUAAUUAUUAGAUUGAACUUCAAAAGAUGAUGGAGAGGAAAACAAAACACUAGUUUCUUUUCUAACCGUUGUCCAUUGAGCCACUUUAGAAAAUAAUGAGCCCUUUGGCAUAUUUAGUGUAAUCUGAGACGAGGUUGCUUCACCAAACAUGAGAUAACCCAUUAUUGCAACUCCUCCAUAUAUCAAAACACAUAAAAUGAAACUGCAAAAUACCCACAUACGUUGAGUGAGAACUGGAUCAAUACAUUACAAGAGUUAAAAAUGUAUAUGGCCUUACCAUGUGAUCACUGCCUUGUUGAACUUGCUUUUAUCAGCCAUGGACUGGUAUAUAUUUGGGAACACAGAGUGACCUGAGUAGCAAAAUCCAUAGAUACCAAUAGCAAACGGUAUCCCGUUCCAUUUCACAGCAUAACCAGUGUGAUUAAACCCGAUUCCGCCCGUUGUCCCAAGGAAAAAACUGCUCACUGCUAUCAAAACAGUUGCAAUAACUCCACCAGCUGUGGAAUCACAAGAAGCUGAUUCAAGAUUCUUGACAAGAUAUACAUGUAUGCAACAAGAAAAAGAAGUUGAUUAGUACCUGAGAGGUAGGAAAUGAUGCUAAGAUCUUUCAACCAAACAGUUGGGAGAAUGAUGAGAGCAGUUAUUAUUCCAAAUAAAUGGAUAGAGUCGAUUUUGAUCCCGAGCCAAUCGAUGGAUGUACCAGGGAAAAGACCGGUCAGGUUAUCCCCUUCCAAUAUGAUGAACUCAACACAAUAUGACUACAAAAAAAUGGACAAAGAUUCUAGUAACUUCACAUUAUACAGACAGAAACAAAACCUUAGGGUUGUUCUUCACUUACAUAUAGUUCAGUGUACAAAAGCACCUGCAAGAAAAAGACACAAACCAUUGCAUAAACCACAAGACCAUCUCCAAUGUAUUUUGCUAUUUUCUUCUAAAAUAGAAAACUAUAUAAUAGAGGAUAAAAUUUGCUCUAGUGUAUUUUUUUUUAAAAUAGCAAUCUCUAAAUUGAGAAUAAGAAAUAGAGAAAUAUUAUUUCUUUCUCUAUAAAUAAAAAUAAAUAAAUAGCAAUCUCUAUUUUAGAAGAAAAAACAUAAAUGAGUUGGAGGAGUUUUGCCUCUAAAUGCUAUUAUAGAGAAAAGUAUAGAUAUGUGUUAGAGAUGCCUAAGAAAGUCUGAUUUUUCGGAUGCAAAUCUACAGAACAACCUAGAUGAGGUCAGCAAAGUGACUUACACAGAUAAGAAUACGACCAUAUUUCCCAAAAGCUGCUUCACCAAUGUCAGGGUAAGUGAUAAUACCAGGCUUGUUCUCGAAGCAAUCUUUCAUCAAAGUAGCAGUGUAACAACAUAUAACAGCAAACAUGAGAAGAAUCACCAUACUUGCCCAUCCAGCUUCUUUCACUGUGUAAGGUGUUGAGAGAAGUCCAACUCCAGCCAUUACAUUAAUUCCUGUAACAAAGUAUGGUUUAUAGAAAAAGUUAACACAUGGUUCUUGAUUAGGUCAAGAAUCAUAGUCACAACCGUAACACAUGUUUCUUGAUUUUGUCCAGAACCAUAGUCAUAACCGUUACACAUGUUUCUUGAUUAGGACAAGAACCAUAGUCAUAACCGUUACACAUGUUUCUUGACUAGGACAAGAAACAUAGUCAUAAUCGUCACACAUGUGUUUCUUGAUUAGAGCAAAAACCAUAAUUAUAACAGUUAUACUUGUUUCUUGAUUAGGUCAAGAAUCAUAGUCAUAACCAUUACAAAUGUUUCUUGACUAGGACAAGAAUCCUAGUGAUUGAUACUCGCUACACAUGUUUCUUGAUUAGUGGAAGAAUCAUAUUUCUUAUAGUUUACCAUUGAAAAUGGUUUGAGUGACGCUGCAGCCAUAGCCACCAAUGGGAAACUCUUCAGCAAAUGAGCCUUUAUGAGACCAAACUGAUUGUGUAACUGAGGUUUUGUCGGAUUCUUCAUUUCUCUCAGGAAGCAAAGGAGCUUUUGACUCAACAUCAAGAUUACUUCUGCUCUGUCUAUAGAAACUAGGAUUACUCCUGAGAGACCCGAAGAUCGGUGAUGCAGCAAUCGUAUAAGAAUCUGUCGUUUCCCUGUUUAAAACAAAAAGCUUCUCUGUUCAUUACAAAACAACCGAGAAUGUCAUCGGUUUGGUAAUGAUUCUUGUGUGGAAAGGGUGAUGAAGAUUACCUAAAGCUCUGAGGCCACUGAACUUGGGAGAUGAAAGUGUCAUCGUUGUUGUCGUCGUCACCAGGAAGAUCUCCCACAUCACUUUGAUCAGUGUCACUGUCGUUCUCGUACUUACUGCUGUCUUCUAGAUCUUCAUCGUCUUCGAACGUGAACUCGGGUUUCUUCACCUCCAUGUUCUGAAACUAACCCUUCAGUGGUGAUCGAUCUAGCGAGUGUUUCAGAGAACCAAAGAAAAUGAAACAAGACCAAUCUUCUUGAUUGGUUUUGUUGUGUGCUGUUGUUAUUACAGAGAGGGUGGGUUCGAGAAGUUUGCAGAGAGGAGAGAGAGCUGUGGAAAGAUGAAUAAAACAGCGUGUCCGUUUUUUUUUCCUUUUUAGUUUUCUUUUUGAAGCUUUUUGUGAUUUGAUUGAUGUCACUCUCUGUCUCUCUGUGUUGCGAGUUGCAUGGCUAUUAUAACGGGAAAUGGUGACGUGGCGGCAUAGUUUAAUACAAGUAAACUAAUAUUUAUUAAAAUAUUUUUUUGGGCAAAUAUUUAUUUUAUUUUAUUAAAAUCCAAUGUCAUUAUUUAUUGUAUUCUAAAUAUUUUGUCAAAAUAUUUUGAAAUUUAGUGUUAUUAGCUAUUGUAUUUAUGAUUAUUAGUCAAAAGUUUGAAGUCUAUCAUUAUUGAAAAUUUUGAUUACAAUAACUAAAAUCUUGGACUAUUUAUGUUUGAUAAAGAUUUUAAAGUGAAAAGUUUAAAUAGAUUUAAAUCUACUUAAUGUGGAAACAUAUAACUUUUUGUCCUUAUAUUCUUUUAUCUUUUUGACCAAAUAAAAUCCAAGUUUAUUUAACAUUGUCUUUUCUUUUAAUGUCAUCUCUUCUCUUUAUCUUAUGAUUUUCUUCCAUGUUCGUCUUAAUCAAAGCAUUUUUCUUAUAUUGGAUACAAAACACAGAUAUGUGAAACACAUACAAAGCAUUAUUAUAUUUGGAAAGAUGUUCAACCUACUCUUGUCGAAUAUAUAAAAAAAAUCUUCUAAUUGACUAUAGAGAGACUUAAUUCUUCCUUUAUUUAUCUUGAUUUUUAACAAAUUCGAAUUAAAAUUGUGAAAACAGUUAAUCUUAAUGAUUUUGUCAAAAAAAAAACAAUUAAAUGUCGCUGAAUUCUUAUGCUUAAUCCUUCCUUAAAACUCAUUCGUUGGUCUGAAUCUGAAUCUUUAGCAUUCCAAAGAGUCCAAAUCAAGAAAAUACAAAAGAAGAUUUGAGUGACGCGAAGUCGACGAGGGAAUGGGGUGGAAUUUGUCAUCCUUGUCAGGCAGAAAAAAUUAGAAAUACGUUAUCUAUGCAUGUGAUUCCUAUUCCUACCUAAGUGUCCAAGCUUCAUAUGGUUCAUUUCAUUUAAUAAAUUUUCCUUUUGACCCAAAUGUAUUUUUAUCUUGAGUUAACGUUCUUCAAUUAACUUUAAACAGAGAAUUAUUGGAAGGAAAACAGGGAAUUAUUAAAGAAAGAUCUGCAUGCCUCUUAGUCUGCGCCCUUGGUACUUGGCAAAACAUGAGAAUAUCUUCCUUAUAAUCUCUUUUUUUUUUUUCCUGUCAAACCUAUGCUUUUGUAGAGAAGUUAAUCAGAAUCUGGUACAAGAGAAACAAGUAUCUGUCAGGGCCGGCUCAAUGGUGUCAUGGACCCGGGGCAAAACAAAAUUUAAUUUCCAAACAAUUUUUUUUUUUUAAAUCUAAUAGAUAUAUGUUUUUUUCAAAAUAGUAGAAGUAUUUUUUAAAAUAACUCUAUGGAAAUAAAAAAAAAAUUCAUAUAAAAAAUGUGGGUUCUUUUUCUUAUUUUUAAUAUUAAAACUAGCUUUUGACCCGCGCGCCCGCGCGGGUGUUCGUUCUUUAUAAUCAUAUGUUUUUAAGUUUUGAAAAUGAGAAAAAUUUAAUUGUUUAUACUUAUUAUUUUUUUGUCACUGUUUAUGUUAUAGAUUCAUAUGUUGUUCAAGUUUGACAUUAGUGUGUAUUAUUGUUUAAUGUGAUGAAUUUUCGUAUAUAAACUAUGAGAUUGUGUUAUUUUUUAUUGUGUUUAUUUAGUCAAAUUUUUUAUUCUGUUUUUUAUAUUUUGUAAAGUCAACAAUAAUAUUUUUUUUUGCCUAUAGUUAAAAAUAUCUAACAAACACAAAAAAAUAUGGUUAAGUAUUUGAAACUUUAGUUUAUUAUUCUGACCAGCGUUUUUAAUUGUAUUGUGAUAUAUAUUUUUCAUAUUGUCUAUGGCAUCAAUUAGAUGGUAAUAUUUUAUGAAAUCUAACUAUGUAUUUAUAUAUAGUGUGAACAUAAUUUGUUACUUAAAAUACUGUAUUAAUUGAUGACAUCAAAUAUAACUUGUGUAAGAAAAUUUUUAAAAUAAAAAGAUCUUUUAAAUAUCUGAUUAUACAUACUUUCAAUACGGUUAGUAAUAACUUAUCUAUUAUAACUAAAUCAUAAGUUUAAAGCAAUGUAAAAAUAUUUUUAAGAAAUUAGAUUAAGAAAAAACAAUGGCUUAAGUAUAUAUGCUGGGUUAAUACCACGAUUAAUACAAAUCUUUUCUUCACAAUAGUUUAUAAUCUUGCAUCAGUCAUCCUCAAAAAACCUGAUAUCAUGACAUUUUAUAUGUGGCUGAUGUUUGAGUUGGACUAUCGGAGGACGAAAUUCAAGUUAUCCAGAUACAAUGGAAGACGACAACCUAGACGCAGACUGAAAAUACGGUUAGUGAUUACGAUUAUCUAUCAUAGCUAAUUUAUAGGAUUAAAGGAAUGUAUGAGCAUGUAGAAUAAGUAUUGGUUAGGAUUGAACCCUGCCUUAACUAUUGAUGUUUGGUUUUAGCUUGUCUGAGUUAUGAUUUAGUUGAUGUUUGGUUUUUACUUGUCGGACUCAUUGCUUCUAUAGGUUUAUCUUAAAGAUAGAAUUGUAUUUCAGAAAAUUAAAAAACAUAAUAGAUUGAAAUGAACAAAGAGAAUUGACAUGCAGGUCAAAAACUGAAGUUUUACAAUGUUAUUGAAAUGAAAGUUUGAUUUAACAAAUAAUAAAAUGCAGUUUGCAUCUAUUAAAACAAUCUCUCUGAACCAGCAACCACUCUUCCACCAACACAAACCUGGAAAGAGCAAAAGUGGACAUAACACCAGUUAAAAUUAAUUUUAAUUAUUUUUCUUUAGUAGAUAUAUAAGAACAGACGCAUAGGAAUCUGAACUUUAUAAAGAACACAUACAAACAUAAAACGUAUAACUACAUCUAAUCGAUUAGGAUCACAUACCUUAUCACCCCCAACAGCUAAAGGUUGUCGAAAACUUCUUUAAAAACUACAUUCAUAGUUUUUUUCUGAGUUUUUCCAUCUUUGUCCACAAUCAAAAUUUUUAAUCCUUUUUUUGAAGUGACUCUAGAAACAGCCACAUAUAGCUGACCAUGUGAAAAGACAGGUCUUGGUAGAUACAGACCUACUUGAGAUAGUGAUUGCCCUUGGCUUUUGUUGAUUGUUAUGGCAAAAGCCACAGCAAGAGGCAGUUGCCUUCUCCGCAUUUUAAACGGCAAUCUGGUGUCAGAAGGGGUUAUCAGCAAUCUAGGAAUAUCAACUAUUUCCCCAACCCUUUCUCCUGUUAUAAUCCUAGCUCGAACCAUAAAAUCCAUUAGAUGUGUGAUCUGCAAUCUGGUCCCAUUCAUUAAGCCGUCUGUAGGAGCUAUGUUUCUCAGAACCAUAACAGGACAACCAACCUUCAGUCUAAGACUAUGGUUUGGUAAACCAGAAACCUUAAUAGUGUUCAGAAAAUCAGAACUAAGUGCUUCAUUGUUUACUGAGGUUGUAUCUGAAGGAUCAAUACUAUCAGCACUGUUAUAAAUUUUUUCCUCGCCUGAAAUAGUUAACAUAUUUUAAGAGAAUUAGACUUACAAAUAUAGUGGACGCAGAAACAAUAGGUGAAGAAUAGAAAUUUACCAUUUAGCUUAUCCAACAUAUAAUCAUUAACUAUAUUCACAUCCUCAUUGGUUGGACAAAGAAUAGCUCUCUCUUGGAAAAACUUGGCCUCUUUUUUUUCAUGCAAUGUUGCUGAAUCACCAUAAAUAGCUUUGCUGAUUGCUUCUAUAGGAUCAUCUGACUUGGUAAUAAGAAAUUCAGUGGGUAUUUCAACCUCUGCUUCCCCAUCAUUAGGCUCAGAAAGUUUACCAUCUCCAACUUUCAAAAUCCACUCUGAAAAUUCUUUUAGAUCCUUUGAGUCUUCAAGUGAUAAACCACCAGAGAGCAAUCUCAUAUUCUUAGUCAAAUUAAGCACUUUGCAGUUAUCCCAUAGAUAUGAAGAGUUAAGUGUGGUCAUAACAAUUUCAGCUCUACCAGCUCCAUUUAUAACAGGCAAGACCUGCCUAAAAUCGCCUCCGAAAACAACAACUUUUCCCCCAAAUGGUUGUGUGUCGUGCUUUCCCACAAUAUCAGAUAAACUUCUGUCCAACGCUUCAAAACAAUGCUUGCUCAUCAUAGGCGCUUCAUCCCAGAUAAUAAGUGAUGAUGCUUUCACUAAAUUAGAUUGGUCAGUUCCAUGCUUCAUAGUACAUGAGGAAAACUCGUCUGGAUUUAGAGCAAUACUGAAUCUUGAAUGAGCUGUCCGACCGCCUUGCAACAACAAUGAUGCGAUGCCACUUGAAGCCACGUUUAGAACAAUAUCUCCUCGAGAUCUAAUGGCUGCAGAUAGCAAUUUCCAGAGGAAAGUUUUCCCAGUUCCACCAAAACCGCUAACAAAAAACAUUCCACCAUCUCCUUUAUUAACAGCUGAAAGAAUCUGGUCAUAUAUGAAUUUUUGCUCGCAAGUCAUCUUUGGAAUAUCUCUGUCAAGAGUUUCCAACAAAGAGGUACGAUAAUAGCUACGCUCGUCUAACACCAAGACAUUUGAAUCGUCACUACUUGUCCUUGGUAGUCUAGGCAUAGAUUCAAAUCUUGACAGAGAAGUACCAUUACGUCUCAAAAUUUUUUCAAUCUCUAGUAAAGGAUACUUCUUUUUGUCGUCAUCGCUCAGUAAUAGACCUAAAAUUAAAAUAAAAAGGACAGGCAAACAAAUAAAAUUAUUAGUUGCUUGCAGGACUAUCAUGUAGCAUUAUAGAAGUUUACUAUGCAAAAAAUAAAUGUUGACCUGGUCUAUUGAAAUUUCUUCUCCUGCAGUGCUCUAUAUCUUCAGACAAAACCUCCCAAGUGUGUUCCCAUACAGUCUCCGGCUCAGAUAAAGUGUUACUCAUAAGCAUCAUAACAAAAACAUUUCGUAGCUCACUUGCUGUGCUUUCAUAACUUCUUCUUAGUAUGUCAUCAAUGUAUUCUUGAUCAUCAUCUAAUAACCCACGAGCAUAACAUGCUGCUUUGUAGCUCGGAUGUAGAACACCUUCAUAGGUUUUAAUGUCAUCAUAACUGGUGGGUCCUCUGACAAUGUUCAAUAAUACACGCAAGAAAUAAGCAUUUUCCUGGGACCGAGGAGCAUAAUUAAUCCUCCCUAGAGCAAAACCCCUUUUCCUUCUUUUGAACUUCUUUGACCUUUUAUCAUAAGUGAAGAAGUUUGGAAUCUGAGCGUAGGUCAACGUUCUGGCAAGGGAGUCAAUCUUACACAACUCAAACCAAGCUAAGAACAUUGUAUUUUCAAUGAGCUUCCGGGUGACCACUGUUUUCAAUUUAUCUUUCCCUUUGAAUGUAACAAUUUGCUUUCCGGGUAGAUGAAAACUAAGCUUCUCUACAGCAACAGAUCGAUAGUGAAUAAGGAAUUUGAACACUCUCCAGGUUCCUUCACAUGUCGAAACAUAUCUGCAAAAACGACAAAUUUGCAGCUUACUUAUAACACGAACAUUAAGCAAACAUACCUGCAAUCGAAGAAUUCCUUGAGUUCAUUCCUUUUCUUCUCAAGUUUUUCCUUAGUAAGAUCGACAUCUCCUAACUCACUUGCAACAAUGUGGUCUGGGGGUUCAACAGAAACUGUGCAACGAUCCUGUCCUUUAUUUAUGUAUUUGAAUAAAUACUUUAUAGACCCAACUUGGUUGCACCACUCAACGUUAAUGUGAGCUCUAUAAAGGAGAGAUAAUUGCCGGCUGUAAGGAAUAACAUAUCGAUUGUCACAUCGCACUCCAUUCUUCAGAACAUAAUUUUCUGAAUGUUGACGCCUUCUGUAAACCGGAAAUCCUUCUUUAUUAAUAUUGGUCGUCUCAGAAAAUGAUUUAGGAUAUGACUUAGAGCAACGGCCAUUCUCCAUGCAUGGUGAAUUCAUAUUCAUUUUCCUGGGACCGAGGAGCAUAAUUAAUCCUCCCUAGAGCAAAACCCCUUUUCCGUCUUUUGAACGUCUUUGACCUUUUAUCAUAAGUGAAGAAGUUUGGAAUCUGAGCGUAGGUCAAUGUUCUGGCAAGGGAGUCAAUCUUACACAACUCAAACCAAGCUAAGAACAUUGUAUUUUCAAUGAGCUUCCGGGUGACCACUGUUUUCAAUUUAUCUUUCUCUUUGAAUGUAACAACUUGCUUUCCGGGUAGAUGAAAACUAAGCUUCUCUACAGCAACAGAUCGAUAGUGAAUAGGGAAUUUGAACACUCUCCAAGUUCCUUCACAUGUCGAAACGUAUCUGCAAAAACGAAAAAGUUGUUUAUUAAGUCCAUUUAAUUUGCAGCUUACUUAUAGCACGAACAUUAAACAAACAUACCUGCAAUCGAAUAAUUCCUUGAGUUCAUUCCUUUUCUUCUCAAGUUUUUCCUUAGUAAGAUCGACAUCUCCUAACUCACUUGCAACAAUGUGGUCUGGGGGUUCAACAGAAACUGUGCAACGAUCCUGUCCUUUAUUUAUGUAUUUGAAUAAAUACUUUAUAGACCCAACUUGGUUGCACCACUCAACGUUAAUGUGAGCUCUAUAAAGGAGAGAUAAUUGCCGGCUGUAAGGAAUAACAUAUCGAUUGUCACAUCGCACUCCAUUCUUCAGAACAUAAUUUUCUGAAUGUUGACGCCUUCUGUAAACCGGAAAUCCUUCUUUAUUAAUAUUGGUCGUCUCAGAAAAUGAUUUAGGAUAUGACUUAGAGCAACGGCCAUUCUCCAUGCAUGGUGAAUUCAUAUUAGCUGCUCCACAUGGUCCAUGAAUCAUCAUAUCCUUAAUGAUCUCAAAAAGUUCUGGUUCUUCCUUUUUAUUAGGAAUCUCAGCAUAUAUUAUGUUGUCAAUGUCCUCUGUUGUAGGCUGCUUGAUUUUCUUCAUGAAUAGGAGAAUGUGAGCAUGCGGUAAACCACGCUUCUGGAACUCAAUUGUGUACAUAGCUGUUUCACGCAAAAACAAACAUUUUAGACGUCAAUGAGAUCAAACAUAAACUGUGUAACAACAUUAAAACAAAAUUUCACAGCGGACUUUAACUUACAUGCGCUGGUCUCUCCCAAAAUAUUCUUCUUGGUUAAAGCAUCCAUCAAUGAAUCAAGUUUGAUCUUGAAAAUUCUACAAAUAAUGUCUGAUCUAUCUUCUGCCUUUAGCUUCCUCGCUUUCACAUAUCUGGUGAUCUCUGGCCAUUUGGGAUUACACGUGAAAGUGAUGAAAAGGUCUGGGAAUCCGAAAUGCUUGCAUAUUGUCAUAGCAUCCAAGUAAUUGUUCUUCAUUUAUCUAGGACUCCCCACGAAAGAAGCUGGUAAAGUAAACUCAGAUCCUUGCUCAUUCAUAUCCACUUUGCCUGCAUUCUCCGACUCUUUUAUGGAAUCAUAACUAUCAGAUCGCAAGGAAGUUUGAUUUAGCUUCAAAUAUCGCAGACGAUUAGACUCAAUUGUUGUGAAGGCAUCCACCACAAAUUGUUGAAAUAGCCUUCUAGAAUGUAGGAGACAAUGAGACUCAUUCUUACGUUCAUGCAAGCGAAAAGCAAAGAAUUGCCUCAUACUGAUAUUAGGCUUCUUCUGUUUUUUUGUAAUCUUCGUUGCCCCUUUCUUAAUACCGAGUCUGAAUCCAUCUUCUCCAUACGUAAACAAAAGAGGAUACUGAAGUGCAAGAUAAGAAGCAUGAAUCUCGUUAAUUCUCAACAGUUUCCCUGAUUUUUGUUGUAGAACAAUAUCCCUUCUGUCCAUAUCAAGACUAAAAUCUCCAGGAAUAAGGGCAGCAACCUCUGAGGCAGAGGGUGUGUUAUAUGUCCUUCCGUCCUUUAACCUCUCACUAACAAUCCUCAUAUGAAAUGAAUCUUCAGGAUCUGUGUUGAAGCGAUCUCUUGCUGAUCUAAACUUUUUUACAUAUGGAUUGACCUCAUUCAACAUCCUCAUCAAAGCAUCAAUAAUAUCUUUCCUGAGAUUAUCCUUUUUCUUGACCUGAAUUUUCUGUUUUCCAGAGCUGUAAAAAUAUAAGUACAAACUAUGUUAGUUAUAACAUCUUGAUGAGAGUGAGAGCUAGUCAAAUAAACAUUGUAAUACCUUAAACAUUUUGCUCUGUUUUCAACUUCAUUCUCUGUGUCAACUAUGUAUAGCUGUCCGAAUUUCGCUUCACUUCCUUCAGGUGGAGUUAAAUUCCCAAUUAAGUGAUAGUUUUCUCCUUGUAGUUGAAACAUAUCAGGUCCUUUACCCUUCUUUAAAGUCCUCUGAACUUUUCCACCAAGUGAAGUGAAAGAAAAAACCAUAUUGUAAGGUCGUAUAUGUUUUUGGAAAUGCCUGCUUCGUGGAUCAUCCCCUUCCAAAAGCUUUUUUAGAAUAGUUGGUGGCUCCUUCAAUAGAGGCAACUGAACUUGACCUUGCAUGCAACAUAAAGAAAAAGUAGGAUUCUUUGCAUUUCUACGCUUGUUUAGCCGUUCUCCAUACCACAUUAUAGCUCCACAGUGUGAACAUUUGUAGUCAGGAUCACCGUCAUCUAAAUAUUCUGCAGAAAGAAAAAAAUACAUUAAAACUUCUGAUGUUUAUAGCAAAAAGGUAGAAUGUCAUAUCUAAAUUGAAACUGCAAUCAGAUUCGUUACCAUUUUCUUUUAAAUCUUGUUUUUUCUUCGCUGUGUAGUUUACCACUGUGGUGCCUGUAACAUCAGGGCGUUGUGAAUCUCCAGUUUUUUUAGUUACAACGUUUACCAGAAGCUCUACAUCCACAUCCGUAGGAUCAUCUAUGUCAGAUUCCUCUGUUUCUGUAUCAGUAUUAUCUUGAGAACUACAGUCAAAUACUUGUAAUUCAUCAGUAUCUUCUAUUCCUGCAUAUGAAUAGAUAAUAUUAAUAUAAAUUCAAAGUGUAAAACUAAAGUGUAGGCAAUUACAGUACAUCAAACCUCCAAAUAAAUCAUUUCCAACUACAGCAUCAUCUUCGUAUAUGUUAUGAGCCGAGGCAUUGCUUUUAGGUGAUGGUAACUUUUCAUUUUUUUCCUUAAAUGUGAGAUAUUCGUAAUAUCUUUCAGUACAUUACGUGUUGACCUUCUUGAAGUUGAAGCUCCUUUCUUUUGAAUCCCAGGUUUAAUAGAGCUGAAGCUUGUCUUUUCUAGAUCCCCUGGUUUAAAAUUAGUAAUAUGGUUGUAAUGAGUAUAAGUAAUUAAAAGAUACACGGCUUGUUUUAAGUAAAAACAGGAGUAUGCAAACUUGUUAAUGAUGUGAAGCAAGAUCUCAGCUCUGGGGUGUCUGGAACUUGUGAUCUAAUUUGGUCGAGACCUUGGAAACAUAUCAAAAUUAAACUCAUUAUAAAGGAUUUCAAGGUUAAGCGAUUUGUGGUGAUAAGCAUGGUUGGACAUGAAACACUUACCAAGGACACACCUUCGUAUAUUUCUUGGUGUCUGCGGUGAAAGCAUGCUUAUCUGGUCAUAUGGGGUUGUAUUGCUUGGUACUUGCCGGUUUUCAAAGUUUUCAAAGAGUCUAUAAUAUAUAGAGCAUAAAGGAAUUUCUUUAAAGGCUAUAGUACUUGAAGAACUGUGCCUUUGAGGUUUAACUAAUGAGGUUGUCGUUUUUUCUGUUGCAGGUUCGACUCCAGUGAUUGGUUCCAGUUUUUUCCGUUUCAUCUUCAGAAAAUCGAGACCAAGAAAUUUUCCUCGUUUCAGUAAGAGGAUGAGAGAGUAGCUGAAAGAGGAGAUUGGCCGUGUAUGAUAAAUUUAUUUAAGAGGUAUUCUUCAAUUACUUUUUCUAAUUCUAGAUUCAUAAUAUAUGGUUGGCUUUAAUUUAGGAAAACUGUUGAUAACAAUUAGGAUUCUUGAUAUCUUUUUUUCAGUGAUAUACUUCUGAUUUUGGUACUCUACUUUAUAUAACUUUAAAUUGUUUUUAAAGGUCGUAGUAAAUGGAGAUUACAAAGGCCUGUGAAGAAUAAGGAAGCAUCAAAGUGUUAUAUGAAUCAAAACUGUCUUAUAGCAGGCGACUACUAUGAUAUUGAACAGGUAUGUCAAGUAUAAACUCAUCUUAUACUUCUUUGAUAGUUUGUAGGAUGGUAAGAAUAGGUAAACCAGACAAAAUUUGGUUUAGUUAGGAGAAUCGAAUGGUUAGUUAGGUGGUUAGUUAGGUUAAUCUAUUGAUUAUUUAAUUGAAUUUUGAAGACUGGUUGUCCAUUGUUUAGAUGUUGAACUAAUGGAAUGGAAAAGUCAGAUCAAAUUGUAUAGAGUCUGAUCUAAUUAUACAAUCUAAUUUAUGGAAUCAUAUAGGAAAUCUCAAUAUUAUUAAAUAUAGAAAACCAAUCCAAUAAGAAAAACCAAUAAAAAGCAAUGCAUAAAUCAUAAAGUUCAGAAAUAAUUAAAGUAAAAAACAUUAUUAAACAUAGAGGGGGGGGAGGGGUGGUUGAUGGCGAAGUGGACACAUUCUCUUGAGAUUAUUCCUUCUUUUCCUUCUCUUGUUUGAUCAUUUUGGUGCACAGCUUUUUGGAAGAAGAUGAUAUGUCUGUUAGAUCAGAAUGAUCUACUUUGCGCUUUGUGAUGGGAGUGGGACAAUCUUCUGAUGACUUCUGAUCCAACAUCAGAACCUAAAAUUAGAUCAAAUUAAUCAGUAAGAUUGUAUUAUAAAAAUCCAAGUUAUAACAGACACAAAGUAAGACCAAAUAUAAAAUUUCAAGUUAAAACAGACAAAAAAGAAGACCAAAUGUAAGGCUCACGUUUUUUAAUACUAAUAAACUUACAGAUCCAGAUGACAUGGUGGAAGAUGUUGUGGCCAUGCCAGAAAAUGAUUUAUAAAGAUUAGAUUUAUAAAGAUUAGAUUCAAACUAUAAUAAAUAAUUUAUAAAGACACGAAAGUUUAAAAUAUAAAGUUACCCAUUGAUCUGCUAAAAUCAUCUCAAAGCUAUCACCUCCGAAAGGUGUGUGUUGCUUAAAUGAAUGCAAACAUUUGACCUGAACUCUCCAAUUGUUUUUGAAAGGUCUCAAUUUUGUGAAAGGAACAAAAGCCAUAACGAUUGACAUGUUUACUAUUUGGUUUUCUUUGAUACGUUUUUGACGUUAAAAGGAGUGGAUAUAUAUAGUUGUGAUUUGAAAGAUUUGGUUAAAUUGACAAAAAUAUAAAAAGAUUUACUUUGUUGUGAGCUUCACGCAAAAUCUGUUGAUUAUAUUACCUUAUUUAUGAAAUCAUAUUUAAAAGAGAAUAUCCAUUCUAACGAUAAGGAAUAGCUUGUUUUGCAAGAUUUUAAAUCAGAAAAUAUAGAUUGUAUUAGUUAAUUGAAACCGUGCAUUAAUCAAAAGUCAGCGUAGGAAUAGGAAAAAAUAAUAAUGUUGUUUUGUUUUGGAAAAGAGAUAUUUUGUUAUGAUAUUGGGCAUGUAGAAAUCGUUAUUUAGAAAAGUUUGUUUUGAUUAUGGAAGGAUUAAAUCUUCCGAUUUGUUAUUGAAUUGGGAUAAAAUAUUCUCAGAACAAUCGUUUAAAAUUGUAGGGGAGAUAUAACUAAAUUGGGUUGGCAAUAAGAGUAACAAAAUCGUAUUGGACAUUGGAUUGGGCCAUGAAUCGUUAAUUGCUUAAAAGAUCUGAUAAAAGGAGAAUUACAAAAAAUCCAGUGGCAUAGGUAUGUAAUAUUUGUGGAAAACUAAGGGGUAUUAUCUUUUUGUACUUCUGUUUUAAUAUAUUAGAUACAUGUAUUUUUUAAAAAAAUCGGGUCCUUAUAUAUUAAAAAAUAGGGGGACAACGAAUUGGAUCCGGGGAGGUCGCACCGCUCGCCCCCUAUCUAAGCCGGUCCUGGUCCCUGUUUAGCUAAACCAACCUCAAAAGAAACAGAGUUGCGAUUGCAAAACCUAAAAUAUACAAACUCCAUUGAGCUUGCGAAAAUGGUGAUAUCAGCUACAAUUCCAUGAAUCUCCGAGUAGCAGGAUCCUUCUACAAUAGCUGCCACCAGUUGCUUGGAGUCCUUCGAAGUUCACACUAUUGUAACCCAGAGACAAAGCGUGAUGCAUUGCCUUCCUUAUAAUCUUGCAUGACAAUUUUAGGAGAAAACAAAAGUUGGUUAAGAAAUAAAUUAUCAAAUUUUCACUCAAAAAUCAUAUCGGGAACACAUGUUAUUUUAUCAAAAUCCAGGGUUGUAUAUAUACAGCAACUUUUGAGAUAUUGAACUGAGAACAAAAAGAAGUAUAAAGUAGCGAUAUAUUUUAUAUAAGCAAAAUAAAUUAUCUCACUUUUUCUCCCGAUCCUUAGGAUCAUCUGUCACGCUUCCGAUACGUGGCUUACCGAUCAGGAACGAUACUGAGCGCACCUCACAAGUCACGCCUCCAUCAUUUGCUUCUUAAUACUAUCCUUUAAAUAUGUUACAAUAAGAAAGAAGAAGAAGUUAUAUGCCUUUUUUCAAAAAAGAAGAAGAAGUUAUCACGAAAAAAUCAAAGAAGAGAAGAAGUUAUCAUGGGUCAAGCCCUCAAUACCGGUUCGUCCGUGACAUGUCUUUUUAAUGUUCAUUUAUAACGAUAUAUACAUUCCAUUAAUGAAAGUUUAUCGUAUUUUAAUAUUAAUAUUUUUGUUUUCUUUUUUGGUGACACUUGAUCAUGGAGCGCAGCAAAAGGGAACGGUGAGUUAAAUAGGAAAGACUUGGAAACUAUGGCAGAUAAUUGCUACCGCAAACGCCUUGAAGAACAAGAUGACGAUCAAGAAUGGUCUUUUGGCGACUUCUACCGUAUUGUGGAUGAAGCUGUCGAGUAAUUUAAACCCUUCUUAUACACUAUGCUAUGACUGGUACAUGAGAUGUGAUUACACCUAACUUAUUUUAUUUGGUGUUGAUAGAGAAAUUAAUAGAAGACUCGGUGGUACCCAACUUAAGGUGCCAAGUGUUGAUAAAUUACAAGAAGCUUAUGAGGUAAAUUCUUCCAGUUUCUGUUUUGUUAAACAGCUUUAUUAACUCAAAUUAGUGGUGGCAUGGUUUUCUUUUUUUUUCAUUUGUAACAAAACUUGGGUUCAUAUUCGAAGUAAGGACACGAUGGAUUGCAUCAUAAUCUGAUAAAAACAAAGCAAACCAAAGUUAAAACAUUAGAUUUGCAAAUAUUACAGGCAUAUAAUAUAAUUCAUAUUAUAUCUAACAAAAUACUUAAUAGAUUUUGUAAAUGUAUUUAAACAUGUUAUCUUAUGUAUUACACAUAUGGACGUUAUAAUAUUUUAAAGAGAUUACAAAAUAAUCAAUAUUUUAAAAAGGUAAAAAACGGAUAAAUAAUUAUUAGUAUAUAUAUAUAUUUUAAAAAUUAUUAUAAUAAGGACAUUUUAUACUUGAACCACGCCAGAGACACAAUCUCGGUGAGGGGAAGAAGAUAUCAAAAGACGAGUUUCAGAAGCUUCUUCAGGAGGUUUUGAUCGGAGCUGGGUUCACCGGGGUCGGAGGAGUAAAAGAGUUUCUACUCUUCAUCUUUGGAGUUCCUGCCUUGACCGUAUUCCUCAAGAACCGUAUAGCUCCGACGUCUUUCCCCAACGACUUGCUCAUCCCCGCCGUCACUUCCGCUACCGUCUUCCUCCUCGCCAAGCUCAACAAGAUAUGACUCUAUUUGUUUGAUCUUUUCUAGCUUUACAUUUUUUUCUAAAUUUGUAUUGGGUAACGUUUAUGAGUGAAUGCGUCAAUGACUUUGAGUUAAAUUUGGAGAAGUUUGUUUUAUCUCUUACUUCUUUGAUAUUACAGGACCAUUUUAUUGUUCAAAUUUGAAGUGGUUUUGGAAAAAGUUGUCCAACAAAAAAAGGUGGUUUGGAGAACCAAACCAAAAUAAACAAUCAAUAAAUUAAAGAACAAUAAUUCUCGAAUAGAAAACCUAACACUCUUGCCUAAUAAGUCUGCAAUGUGUUAUUCGCCCGAGGAAUAGAAGACAGGGUGAAAAAAAAAAACAUUGAAAUGUUCCCUUGGCCUCUUCGUCUAAGUUAGUCCACUUGUAAAAUAUUAUUUAUUUUAUUAUUAUAAGAAUUAAGAAACAAUGUACCUUUGCGUGAGAGGGAAGCAAGGAGAUGCUAAAUAUAGAAACUUUGAGGGUCUUGCUUGUUUCUCUAAACUUCAAGGCCUUUCAUUAGUUUGAGGACAUGAACGAGUCAUUCUUUGAGUAAUGGUAAAAUUAGUUUGAAAAACUGAUUAGAAAAGAUGAAAUCUCGGAGACAUUUUGUCUCCCAUUUAAGUACUCUUUCUUUGGCCAUGAGUCUUUGUUUGGUUUUGCAACAUGGUUCAGAGAAAUAUUCAAUCUAAUAAUGCUGCAAUCUGAAGGAAAAAGUAAGCAAGAUCUUUGCCUCUGAUUCAAUUAUUACAUUGAGAUUAUAAGAGGCAGAAAAGAAAAUCACAAGUGAGACAUAUGUUUGUUGAUUUCUUGGGCAUGUGUACAUCUUUGGCAUUGUUAUCUAGACAAGAACGCACAUGUUACAGUUUUUCUUAGAUAUAUAUUUUCUUAGUUUAAAAAAAUGAGCAAGGAACAAAGCUAUGUUCUAAAAGCAUGGGAGGUGACCGUGCGAAAGACGCAACAAGCCAAAAAGCGCGCAAACAGCGUUUUUGGAACAGUAUCGGUAUCUCCACACACGGAUAACGAUACUUCAACUGAUGAGAACGAUGAUGAGACCAGCACAAACAGGAGCAGCUUAGAGGAAUUUUACCACGCCGAGAGAGUACUGCCCAAUGGAGACUACUACACAGGGCAAUGGUACGAUAGCUUUCCUCACGGCCAUGGAAAAUACCUAUGGACAGAUGGCUGCAUGUACAUUGGUGACUGGUACAACGGUAAAACCAUGGGGAAUGGAAAGUUCGGGUGGCCAUCUGGUGCUACGUACGAAGGAGAGUUUAAAAGUGGGUACAUGGAUGGUACCGGCACAUACACUGGUCCAAGUGGAGAUGCUUAUAAAGGCCAGUGGGUGAUGAACCUGAAGCAUGGACAUGGUGUCAAGAGUUUUGCAAAUGGAGAUGCCUAUGAUGGUGAAUGGAGGAGAGGUCUGCAAGAAGGUCAUGGAAGGUAUCAAUGGAGUGAUGGGUGUCAUUACACUGGUGAAUGGAAGAAUGGUACUAUCUAUGGCAAAGGGAGCUUUGUGUGGACAAAUGGUAAUAGAUAUGAUGGGUGUUGGGAUGAAGGGUUCCCUAGAGGGAAUGGGACUUAUAAAUGGGAUGAUGGGAGUUUCUAUGUUGGUAACUGGUCUAAGGAUCCAGAGGAGAUGAAUGGUACUUAUUAUCCAUCAGGAAAUGAAGGGAAUCUUGAAUGGGAUCCUAAAGAUUUGUUUGAUAAUUUGAGUGAGUACACUAUAUGCAGUGGAGAGAGGGUUCCUAUGCUUCCUUCACAGAAGAAACUAUCUGUUUGGAACUCUUCCAAACGUAUAGAGAAGCCUAGGAGGGUGUCUGUUGAUGGGAGGGUGAGUGUGGGUGUAGAUAGAGCGUUUGAGAAGAUGAAUAUGUGGGGGAAUGAAACCGGUGAAGAAGGCACAGAUUUGAGGAAGGAGUUGGAUGCAGAGUUGAUGAGAUUGGAGGCUGAAGGCAUUCGGAGCCUUAAGUCUAGCCCUGUGCCUAUGAAACUACCAAAGGCAGGGAGGAAGCAAGGGGAGACUAUUUCUAAAGGUCAUCGCAAUUACGACCUUAUGCUUAAUCUACAGCUAGGGAUCAGGUAAAUAUGAGAGAGACUAUGAUUUAUAUACAAUCUGAUCUUUGUUGGUAUAUAUAUAUGCACGUGGAGCCACGCCAUUGUUUCUGGUGUCAUGUUUAGUGGUUUUGUCUCCACAGACAUUCUGUUGGAAGACAAGCUCCAGCGGCAUCUCUUGAUCUGAAACCUUCAGCUUUUGAUCCAAAAGAUAAGAUAUGGAGGAGGUUUCCACGUGAAGGAACUAAGUACACACCUCCACAUCAAUCUACUGAGUUCAAAUGGAAAGAUUAUUGCCCACUAGUUUUCAGGUUAGUGUUUUCACAUUCCUAGUAAUUAUGUCUUUCUUACACUUAACAUGUUUUGCUUAUGAUUCAAUUCUCCAGGAGCUUGAGGAAGCUAUUCAAAGUAGAUCCAGCUGAUUAUAUGUUAUCCAUCUGUGGGGAUGAUGCCCUCAGAGAAUUAUCAUCCCCUGGUAAAAGUGGGAGCUUUUUUUACUUAACAAAUGAUGAUCGUUACAUGAUAAAAACAAUGAAGAAGUCUGAAACAAAAGUAAGAUUUGUUCAAGUUACCAUAUAUUGUUGUUAUUGGUGUUACCAAAUAUUUAAAUUGCAUAUACUUAAAACGUCUUGAUCUAGGUGCUUCUGAGGAUGCUUGCAGCAUAUUACAACCAUGUUAGAGCUUUUGAGAACUCUUUAGUAAUCAGAUUCUUUGGUCUACACUGUGUGAGAUUGAAUGGACCAACACAAAAGAAGGUAGAUACAAAACAUCUCUUAAUGUGACAUGGCCUUAGAAAGGGCUGGUUUGAUCUCAUAUCUCUCUCUCUCUCUUGGUCUGGAACAGGUGAGGUUUGUCAUAAUGGGUAAUCUGUUUUGUUCUAAGUACUCUGUUCACAGAAUCUUUGAUCUGAAAGGAUCUUCUCUUGGCCGAACCACUGACAAACCCGAAUCAGAAAUCGAUUCAAACACCAUCUUAAAAGACCGUGACCUGAGUUUCAUUUUCAGAUUGCAGAAAGCAUGGUACCAAGAAUUCACCAGGUGGAAAACCAUUCUACUCUACUCUUGAUUGGUUAGUUUUUGCUUGUUUCAUUUCUCAUGUCUCAUUGUUAAAACUACAGGCAAAUAGAUAAAGACUGUGAGUUCUUAGAACAAGAGAGGAUCAUGGACUAUAGUCUACUAGUUGGUAUUCACUUCAGAGAAUCUUCAGUAGCUGGAGAUCUGAUUCCUUCUGGAGCUAAAACACCUAUUGGUGAAUCUGAUGAAGAAGCAUGCCAUCGUCUCUCUAGAGCAGAGGUUGACCAACUACUUUCAGAUCCCUCAAGGUAACAUAACACAAGAGAACAAUACCAACACUAGAAUGAUAAUAAGUUACAAAAGAAACACUAGGAAUGAUAAUAAUGGUUGAUAUACUAAACCCUUCCAAAAUUUGAAACCCAAAACCCUAUUUGACUAAAUAAAUUAAUAUUGGUUGGAAACGGGCGGAUUCCGCCAAAAACAUAAAAUUUCUUUUUUCUGUCAGAAAUAUAAAAUUUGUUUUCUCUCUAAAAACUUAAAUGGCCAUCCCAUUUUUCACUAAAAUAUAAAAUUUUGUUUUUCACCAAAAAAAAAAAAAAAUCAUGUUUUCUCGUCAGAAACUUAAGAUCUGUUUUCCCAAAGGUUCACAUAACCAUGGGUUUGGUUAUGGUUAUGUUGUUGCAGGUGGGCUAGUAUCAGACUGGGAACCAACAUGCCAGCACGUGCAGAGAGAACGGUGAGGAAAAGCAGUGAUAGCGAGCUUGAGCUUGUGGGAGAGCCAACGGGAGAGUUCUAUGAAGUGGUGCUGAUAUUUGGUAUCAUUGACAUUCUUCAAGAUUAUGAUAUCAGCAAAAAGCUAGAACAUGCUUACAAAAGCAUACAAUAUGAUCCUUCCUCUAUAUCUGCAGUUGAUCCAAAACAAUACUCGAGGCGUUUCCGUGACUUUAUCUUCAAGGCGUUCACAGAUGAUAAUUGAUUGUCUCUUUGCUUUUUAGGUUUCUUGUAUCCCAGGAAAUAGGGCUACAUAUAUAAUUUACAUACUUCGGCAAGGGCUCCGCAACUUGCAAGUAUGAAACUCCCAUUUUGUUUGUUUCAAUUAUAUAUCUUCAAGAUAUUUGUAUUAAACUUUGUAAUCAGUUGAAAACCAUAGAAAUGAAUAUACUUUUUUCUUUCUUUCUUGUAUAAUGUUGUGUAGCCUUUCAUCUUAUGAAAUGCAUAAUUCUUGUAGAUAUUGGUUUGAGCGAAGAUGGUGGUUGAAAUAAUGUGAGAUUCGCAGUAUUAAGUGUGGUCCGGUCCAUCAGAUGUAGUUAUAGUAGUAAAAUUUCAAGUUUUCAACUAAAAUUUUAUUUGUUGUUAAAAGCUGAUAUAUUCUGAACGGUUUCAAUAAUCACAUUGCUUUUUAAGAUAAACUUGCUUUAGUUAAGAGGAAAAUAAUAAUAUGUAUACAGUCAUGUUAACAGAACAUGAGCUGGUGGUAUACAUUGAUUUAGAACUGCAAUUGUGACUGCUUCUAUUUAAGUAUUUAUAUAAAUUGCAAGAAAGUAUCUUUGAUGCACCAAUCAAAAGAUUCAAUUCAAAAGACUAAAACUAAACCUGAUUGGUCAUCAUUUUGGCUAUAAAUUAAAAAGAUUGUUGAUAAAAUUGAAACUUUCUUGGUCUGGAAAGAGGUUGCUGAACAAGACAGCAGGCAGAUUUUUAUAAAUAUACACAACUUUGGGCAAUGUAGUUACGUAGGUGAUGAUGCUUUCUUUUAUUUUCUUCAAUAAAGAAAUAGAGUAAUAUUCCAUUAAUUGUUCUAAGUUAGUAACACUUGCUGUUUGGUGGGUAAGAAUUGAGAAAUAAUCUUUUGUUUUGUUAUGAGAUUUGCCCCCCACAGAGGCUCAGAGUACAGUAUAGAAUUAAAUAUGCGACUGUUCAAGCCAAGUUAAUUACAUCCACUAAUAUAGUUUUAUAAGCGAUGAUUACGUAUUCCCAUUUACUUUAGAAAAAUGAUCGACAUCCACACUAACUAUAGAUUAUUACGUAUUUAAAUAACAUUAAAGUACUAGUAGUUAUAGCAAUAUGACGACAUGUAUUAAUUAACGUAUAUUUUAUCUGGUUAAUAUCAUAAUUUUCAAAAUUAUAAACAGAACUUUGGAAGCCUAACAAUUCAAUAUUAAAAUCCAACAUAAUUUAAAGAUAUAACUAUAUAAUACAUAUUACUUAAUGCAUGUUAUUAUGUUAAUUAUAUAUUUUUGUAGUUAGAAUUAAUUAUAUUUAGAAAAAUAUCAAUGUUGUUUAGACAUGUUAUUAUGUUAAUUAUAUAGUUUUGUAGUCAUUCAAUUCAAUUGUUCUUGUACCUCUAAAACACACAUGCGUCACCAAACGCACCGCUAGAUCUUGAAAAUAACGUUUGAAAACAUAAAAGCUAAUAAAUUCAGCUUUCCAUCACCACCUUUUGCAACAACAGCAACGGCAAAAAAAAAAACGACGGCGAUUUGAUUUGAGUCCUCCGUGCGCUCACUGAUCUGAUCACUCAACCUUUUUCCCUUACCUCGUGCCAUAAUCUGAACAACACCAACGGCUAAAUCUUCUCUGCGAUUCCGGUGCACCGUACACCCCUUCGCAGCGAAUCAGCCUCUCCUUCUAUUUUGACAUUUGAAUAUAACGGCAACAGUCGCAGAGAGAGAGUAAAAGUUCGAACUCCGAUCGAUCAUCCCAUGGCGCUGCAAUCUCCCGGCGCCGCCGGAGCUUCAUCCUCAGUCUCCCGUCUUCUCUCCUCCGCGAAGUUGAGCUCUACUAAGACUCUCUUCUCGGUUGACUUCGUCGGAACCAAACGGCGUAACGGACUCUCCGUGUUUCGCGGCUCCACUCCACUGCUAAAGUCCUCGCUGAGGUCUCCGCUAUCGGCAAAAGCGAUCCUCAAUUUCGAUGCGUCGGCUUCUGGUUCUGAUCCGAAGCCUAAGGUGAUCUAUCCGAUCCUUGUUAAAGUUGUGGAGGAUAUGCAUUUUCAUCUUGUUCAUAUAUUAUGCCUUGAACUGAUCCUGUAGCAUUAGACAUCGCGGGAAUCAGAGUCCGCGAUAGGGUUUUAGACGUCGAUACUGUUAUAGGUUUUGGCUUUGACUUAUGCAAUUUUGAGUUCAUUUGGUUAAAUUUUUUGAAUUGGAUCGUUGCAGGUGGCCUACUUGGAAGAUAUAGUUUCGGAAAGGGGAGAAUGUGGAGUUGGGUUCAUUGCACACUUGGAGAACGAGGCUACGCAUAAGAUUGUUAAGGAUGCUCUGAUAGCGCUUGGUUGUAUGGAACACAGGGGUGGUUGUGGUGCUGAUAAUGCUUCUGGUGAUGGUUCUGGUUUGAUGACUUCAAUCCCUUGGGAUUUGUUUAACGAUUGGGCUGAGAAGAAAGGAUUGGCUUCUUUUGAUAAGCUGCAUACCGGUGUUGGAAUGCUGUUCCUGCCUAGAGAUGAAAACGCUAGGAGAGAAGCCAAGAAAGGUGAAUCUAGAAUAGUUUUAUACAGAUUGAUUGUGAAUUGCAGCUCCAAAUUAUAAUUAUUUUCCUAUUUAUAACAUGUAAUAUCUUCCUCGCUAAAUUAUGUUUGGAAUAUCUCUUCAGUGGUUACAAGUAUUUUUGAGAAAGAGGGCCUGGAGGUGCUUGGAUGGAGGGAUGUUCCUGUUGAACCAUCCAUCGUCGGUCAUUAUGCCAGAAAGACAAUGCCAAAUACGCAGCAGGUCUUUGUUAGAAUUGUCAAAGAAGAUAAAGUAGACGACGUUGAAAGAGAGCUUUACAUUUGCAGGAAGCUGAUCGAAAGAGCAGUUGCUUCUGAAAGUUGGGCAUCUGAGCUUUACUUCAGCUCCUUGUCUAACCAGACCAUUGUUUACAAGGGGAUGCUUCGUUCAGAAGUUCUUGGGUUAUUUUACCCCGACCUUCAAAAUGAUCUUUAUAAAUCUGCUUUUGCCAUCUAUCAUCGAAGAUUUAGCACAAAUACUAGUCCCCGAUGGCCUCUUGCUCAACCAAUGAGGUUUCUUGGACACAAUGGGGAGAUCAAUACCAUACAGGUUAUGCGUCUCCUCUUGUUGAUAGAUUUGUUAUAUCGAGACUAAGCUAGGACCUCUCACUGAAACCGAACAAGUUUUGCAGGGGAACCUAAACUGGAUGACAUCUCGAGAAGCAUCUCUAAAAUCACCCGUCUGGCAUGGACGUGAAGAUGAUAUUCGCCCAAUCAGCAAUUCAAAGGCUUCGGACUCCUCUAACCUUGAUAGUGCAGCGGAAGUAAGAGUCAUCUAACUACCUAACUUGUUUUCCCGUUCUUAUUCUUUUUUUUUGGUAUCUACUUUUGGAUUAAGAAGAAGCAUAGUAAGAAACUCUUGCUUUAGGAGCUAAAACAUAAAAGCAAUAGUGAUAUUCUGCUUACAUAAAACUUCUCUACUGUUGAGUAUAGCAUGGUAAUAAACUUGUUCUUAUUGCCACAAGAGUUCAAUGUAUUUAUAUUAGUGAGGUUGUGCAGCUUUUGAUAAGAAGUGGCCGGACUCCAGAGGAAUCUCUAAUGAUUCUUGUGCCAGAGGCAUAUAAAAAUCACCCGACCUUAAUGAUUAAAUACCCUGAGGUAUUUCUUCGUGUUUGCUUUUUUGAUCUUUGUGGAUACUUGCAAGUGCUUCUCUUAUCAGCUUUCCGACUGUAGGCUGUAGACUUCUAUGAUUACUACAAGGGACAGAUGGAGCCAUGGGAUGGACCUGCAUUGAUAUUGUUCAGGUAAUUUGCUUGACGAAUUCUUAGCCAUGAAAAGUUAGUCAUGUGAGUAAGAUUGAGUUUUCAGUUCGCCCUUAUUCCUCCGAAGCUUAUUUAAUUAAGAAAACUGAGUACUCAUAACUGUUCUCAGAGGCUUGAAAGACUUUGACCACUCAGAUAUUUUCUGCUACUCUUUUCAAAAUGUCCACCAUUGGGGACAAUUGGCGGACAAAUGACCCUGGUGAUAAUUUGUCAUUCAAAGUGGUAGUAGUUGAGCUAGCAAGUCUGUCGCAUUUCCUUUUUAUGCCUUCACAUUUCAAUCUUCGUAAACCUUGAGUUGUUUGGUUCAGUGAUGGAAAGACGGUUGGAGCCUGCCUUGACCGCAAUGGUCUUCGGCCUGCUAGAUAUUGGCGGACAAGUGAUAAUGUUGUCUAUGUAGCCUCAGAGGUGCGUUUUGUCUUUUACUCUAUGUACUUGUUCUUUAUCUAAGCAAGGUUAAUGAUUGCCAGCAGAUGACUGGGCUUAUGCCUGAAUCUUAAAGCUUUGGUCCUGACAGGUCAGAAAACCAGUUCAUUUAAUCACUUUGGAAGUAUCUUCGUUUUCCUUUCUUGACAUAGCUUUGCGAACUGUUUCUUUAAAUAGGUGAUCAGUAUAAAAUAGUUUCUUCAUGAUCACUUAGUGUGAAAUCUAGGAGUAGUUUAAAUCCAGUCAAGCAAACGAAGUGUUUUCUUUAGAAACUGAGUUAAGGCUUGCAAAUUAAGAUAUAUGAUUGGUUACGGCUUGCAAAUCAAAAUAGAUAAUUGGUUAAGAUACACAGGGGCUCUGGUAUCAUAUUGUGUUUAUAUGUUGGCUUUAGAAAGUUACUAAGUCAUGCCUUUAUACAGGUCGGUGUUCUUCCAAUGGAUGAAUCAAAAGUCACCAUGAAGGGUCGUCUAGGACCUGGCAUGAUGAUAUCUGUCGACUUGGAAAGUGGACAGGUUGGUGGUGCACCUGAUUACUGUCGAUCUUUCGGAUGCUCCCAUUGUUAAAAUGUGAUUUUUUCCAGGUAUAUGAGAACACUGAAGUGAAGAAGCGGGUUGCCUCGUAUAACCCAUAUGGAAAAUGGGUAAGUGAAAACCUGCGAACCAUGAAGCCUUCUAAUUUUCUUUCAUCAGCAAGCAUGGAGACUGAAGAGAUCUUAAGACGCCAACAGUAAGCCUUUCUGUUUCUUCUGUUAUGCUUCCAUCAUGUGCGCAUCAUAUGGCGAUUGAUCUGAAGUCAAAGUACUUAACUUUUUAUAACUCUUAUUGUCUUUUUGUAUACGUGGCAUAUAUCUGCUGUGUGGGUGAAAAGGUUGAUUUUUGUUCAAAGUAGAAUUGUAGAAAGUUCAUCAAUUGAUUUCACCAUUAGUAUUUUAUAAGUUGCAUUUUGUAGCUACUAGUUGCCUUUUCCCUGAUCAAGACGUUAAUUUUGGCUAUUUUGACUUUGAUGGACUAGGGCGUUUGGCUACUCGAGCGAAGAUGUUCAAAUGGUAAUUGAGUCAAUGGCUGCACAGGGAAAAGAACCGACUUUUUGCAUGGGGGAUGAUACUCCAGUGGCAGUCUUGUCUCAGAAGCCACAUAUGCUUUAUGAUUAUUUCAAGCAGCGGUUUGCUCAGGUUUGCCCUCCUUUCGAAAGGGCACAAUUUGAAUUAUUUGUUUCUUCUGAUCUAGUUUAAUUGCGUGCUUUGUCGUAGUAAAUCAUUGAAUUGUCCUUGAAAUGGUUUCUUUUGUGGUUCUUGGCAUGGUCUGCUUACAGGUUACGAAUCCAGCUAUUGACCCCCUUCGAGAAGGUUUGGUCAUGUCACUUGAAGUUAAUAUUGGAAAGCGUGGGAAUAUAUUGGAGGUUGGGCCUCAGAAUGUUUCACAGGUAAGAGUUUAAAUUUGGAUUUUGUGUUGGCUUAGAAACAGGCUUUUGCGCGAUUUUAUAUUCAUUCAGACUUGUGAUUUCACGAGUAGGUUGUUUUGUCUGGUCCGGUGCUAAAUGAACGGGAGCUUGAAGGUCUGCUCAGCGAUCCACAUUUGAAAUCUGAAGUCUUGCCCACAUUUUUUGACAUCCACAGAGGAAUUGACGGAUCUUUGAAGAAGGCUCUUCUAAAACUCUGCGAAGCUGCAGAUGAAGCUGUUCGUAAUGGUUCCCAAGUGCUUGUUCUCUCAGACAGAUCUGAUAAUCCGGUACAUACAUAUUUCCAAGUGUAUACGGUCAAUUGUGAUUUUAGAUCUUAUGAUAUAUGGUUAUCACCUUUGGAUUUGUUUAUUUUGUUUUACUAACAACUAUUCCCUAGGCUCUCUUUUUGGACUAGCGAAAUUGUUGUCUAUGCUCUUUCGAAAGUUGGGAAUGUUUAGGGAAAGAAAGUCAGUUUGCAGAUUUAUUUUACUUGUUUGUUAAGUUCAAAUGUGAACGUAAAAGUUCCAUUGUUACUGGUUGUGUGUUAAUGAAUUGCUACAAUCUAGCAUUGUGUGUUAAUGAAUUGCCGAACUUGGGUGCUGUUUUCUUUUCUAGUUAUCUUUAUCUAUUUCUUAAAUACACUUUUAGUUUCUACUCCUAAUCCUACAACCUGUCCCUUUUUCAGGAACCAACUCAUCCUGCAAUUCCAAUGUUGUUGGCAGUAGGUGCUGUUCAUCAACAUCUGAUCGAGAAUGGUCUUCGGAUGUCAGCUUCAAUUAUUGCAGAUACAGCUCAGUGCUUUAGUACGCAUCACUUUGCCUGUUUGAUUGGAUAUGGAGCAAGGUUUCUACUUUUCCUUUUCAUUGAAUUCUUCAUCCUGUUAGGCUGUUUCUUUUCCUAUGACAGCAAAUCAUGUGGAAUUCUGAUGAAUUUAUUCUCUCUCGUUUUUUAUUCAAUUGCGUUAUAGUAUGCUCAUGUUUAUCUCUAGUUUAUAAUACGCUCUUAUUCUUAAUUUUGAGUUGAGUAAUGAUUCGAGAGUGCUUUCCUCAACUGUUUGAUGUCACGUUGCUCUAUGUCUAUAACCAUAUUUCAGUGCUAUAUGCCCGCACCUAGCACUGGAAACAUGUAGACAGUGGCGGCUAAGCAACAAGACCGUGAACAUGAUGAGAAAUGGAAAAAUGCCGACUGUAACUAUGGAACAGGCUCAAAAGAAUUAUCGCAAGGUUAGGCAUGUUAAUGAUUAUGAACUCUUGAUCAUUGACAAAUUUUGAUAAGCCAUUCGAACCCUUGCUUCAUGCAUAUAUUUUCCUGUUAUAUCACUGCCAUUGUCUUUAUAAGUAAUGGAAGGAAGGCAUCCUAAGAUUCUUUGAAUUGCUACUGCAGGCUGUUAACACUGGUCUUCUUAAGGUUCUUUCUAAGAUGGGCAUCUCGUUAUUCUCUAGGUUCAGUUUCUCAACUAUCUAUUUUUGUUUAUUGAUCCUAUAAUUGUAUCUGAUUAUUUCCAUUUCAAUGCCUGAGCUCUCUCUCUCUCUCUCUUUUUUCUUUGUAACAUAAUGCCUGAGCUCUCUGUUUUCAGUUAUUGUGGAGCACAAAUAUUUGAGAUUUAUGGAUUGGGGAAGGAGGUUGUUGAAUUUUCAUUCCGUGGUAGUGCAUCACGCAUUGGUGGGUUGACUUUGGAUGAGGUCAGAAUGCUCCCAAACAUUUUGGAUCUCAGUUUAGAUGCUAUUAUUAUUAUUAUUUAUACUUCCAAACCUAAAGGAGCGUGUACUAAUAUUUUCUCACGGAGUCAAAACAUGUGUGCUUUUUGGUUUUAUGUUUAGAAUUGUAUUUUUCUUUUCUAGAUGAUUGAUUUAGUUUGCUUCCGUGACAAGAUGAAAAUAGCUAAAGUGUCACUGAUAAAUAUAAAAUUAUUGGAGCUAGAAUGGAGAUAUAUACUAUGGGAAACUCUUACGGCAUUAGCUGUAUGUUUCUCUAUUGUGGAGAAACAUACAAUAGAUAAAAGUUCUGAUAAAAGCCUGAGAUCUCCUCUAUUGUUGAAUGCUUCUCAUAUCUUUCAAUGUAAGAUAGUUUCUGUUUCAAAGGGAUUUCAGGGUCACUCAUACUUAAGCCUUCCUCUGUCUGCAGCUGGCUAGAGAGACGUUAACUUUUUGGGUGAGGGCAUUUUCUGAGGAUACAGCCAAACGUCUAGAAAACUUUGGUUUCAUUCAAUUUAGGCCUGGAGGUACUUUUCUGGAUUGAAACCGUUAUUUGGUGAUAAUCUUUUUGAUGUCUAUGCAAAAGCACAUACAUACUACUGCGUCUGUUUAUUCGUAAAACGUUAUCAAGUUAAUUAGAGAUUUUAAAUUGUAUAUAUUCUUACAUAAUAAGGUCGAAUAUGCUUAUAUGCAGACACCUUUCUGUACACUAUUUUACUGUCUCUUUAGUAGACUAGUUGCUGCCAUUCUUUAUGCACGAGCUUUCUAGUAAUAUUCUUGAUUUGGUAUAUUUGGUUAUUUGAAAGGCGAAUAUCAUGGAAACAAUCCAGAGAUGUCUAAGUUACUUCAUAAAGCCGUCCGUGAAAAGAGUGAAACAGCCUAUGCAGUUUAUCAGCAGCAUUUAGCCAACCGUCCUAUUACAGUGAGUCCUAAUACUGUCACCUUCAUACUUAAUCCUGUUUUUUGGAACAAGUGAACAUUAUUUUUAUUUAUUCUUUUGCUGUAGGUUUUCCGCGAUCUUCUUGAGUUCAAAAGUGACCGUAAACCUAUCCCUGUUGGGAGGGUUGAGCCUGCUUCCUCUAUUGUAGAGAGGUUUUGUACAGGUGGAAUGUCUCUUGGAGCAAUCUCGAGAGAAACUCAUGAAACAAUUGCUAUUGCAAUGAACAGAUUGGGGGGAAAGUCUAAUUCAGGGGAAGGAGGCGAGGUAGGUCUUUAUUAUCUAGUUAGGCCUUUUUUCUUACUUCAAAACGCCAAGUUUACCACAUUAGUUGCUAAAACUUCACUGUCUAUCUUGCUAGGAUCCGAUCCGCUGGAAGCCGCUAAUAGAUGUUGUUGAUGGGUACUCUUCAACGCUGCCACAUCUUAAAGGUCUCCGAAAUGGGGAUACGGCUACAAGCGCUAUUAAGCAGGUACUGGAAAAGUCAACUUGACUAGAGGUCAUUAUUCAUGUGUACAGUCUGGUAACUCUCAGGAAGUUAUUCCGGGACCUUGAUUCCCUUCAUUUUUUUCAAAUACCAAAAUGACCUUGUGUCGUCUCAUAGGUUGCUUCAGGGCGUUUUGGCGUCACUCCGACGUUUUUGGUUAACGCAGACCAGUUGGAAAUCAAAGUUGCUCAGGGAGCGAAGCCAGGUGAAGGUGGCCAGCUUCCUGGGAAAAAAGUUAGCCCAUAUAUUGCUAGACUUAGAAAUUCUAAACCAGGAGUUCCGCUUAUUUCUCCACCUCCACAUCAUGAUAUUUAUUCCAUAGAGGAUCUGGCACAGUUAAUCUUUGAUCUUCAUCAGGUACCUUUAUUCCAGUGUAAAUAUUUGGCGAACUUCGAGAAUCAAGGGUUCCCUCGUAACAAAAAUUAAUAAUCAGGUCAAUCCCAAGGCAAAAGUGUCAGUCAAGCUUGUAUCAGAAGCGGGAAUAGGAACAGUUGCCUCAGGAGUAGCGAAGGCUAAUGCGGAUAUCAUACAGGUAUGCACUUCUUUCAGAGUUUGCGAGAGAUCUGAAAUUAGAAUUGUGUAAUUCUUUAAUCAACAUAUUAGCUCAAACGACAUGUAAUUAUGCUAACAGUCUGCUUUUAAAAUGUACUGUCUGGGGACAUGCUAAGACGAUAUAUAUAUAAUCAGUAUAAACUUGGCUUCAAAGACCACUUGUGGCAUGCCACUCCUAUACUUUUCCUAGUGACCAUCUUUGUUCCAUUUUUCAAAUUAUAUGUAUAUGUUCAAAUGUGUCUUUGACUUGCAGAAACAUAGUUGUGCAAUUACGGAAUUUUGAAAUUUAUGAUGCUUCUUUGAUUACAGAUAUCAGGGUAUGAUGGUGGAACUGGAGCCAGCCCUAUAAGUUCCAUAAAGCAUGCUGGUGGUCCAUGGGAACUUGGACUAGCUGAAACCCAGCAGGUAUAUACUUUAGUUUGCACUGGUAGCCUUUACUAGCUUCAGUUUUCCAUCUCAUAUCUUAUUAAUUCUUGGAUGUCAAAGAUUCACUCUUGAAAGAGUCUUAAAAGCUAAGAUUCAAUCUCUUGCAGACACUCAUUGGGAUCAGGGUUGAUGGAGGUUUCAAGAGUGGUGUUGAUGUGUUGAUUGCUGCAGCUAUGGGUGCCGAUGAGUAUGGGUUUGGUACUCUGGCAAUGAUUGCCACAGGAUGUAUAAUGGCUCGCAUUUGCCACACUAAUAACUGCCCUGUUGGUGUUGCCAGUCAGGUAAAUUGGAACUCCUUUCUUACUUGUUCAUGUUUCUAUUUCGAAUUCAUAACCAAUUCACGCUAAUAUAUCCCUAAAUUUGGUUACAGAGAGAGGAGCUGCGUGCACGUUUCCCUGGUCUUCCUGGUGAUCUUGUCAAUUUCUUCCUGUAUAUUGCAGAGGAGGUAAUCUUCAAGAAAAUUUCACUGAUACAAAACUAUCACCAACUUUAAUGUCUAAUAUUUCAUUUUAAUUUCUGUAGGUGAGGGGCAUAUUAGCUCAGUUGGGAUAUGAAAAAUUGGAUGACAUAAUUGGGCGGACAGAUUUGCUGAAGCCAAGGGACAUCUCGCUCGUGAAAACCCAUCUUGACCUCAGUUAUCUCUUAUCUGUAAGUAGUCCGUAACUAUGUUUAUUGAUUUUAUGGUUUUCGUGCCUACGCACAAGUUUUAUCGAUGUGCUUAGCUCAUUUCUUCUUAAAAUUUGCAGUCCGUUGGGCUACCAAAACGUAGCAGUACUUCCAUUAGGAAGCAGGAGGUUCACUCAAAUGGUCCAGUCCUUGAUGAUACUCUACUUCAGGAUCCGGAGGUAACUUGUAUUGUCUUUCUUAUUGACUCUUUAAUUGAACGUUAAAUAAUGUAGCUUACAAUCUUUAGUUGUUAAUGAGUGGCAAAACCCUUUUACUUUAGAAGAGGUUCGUUGUAGUUAUGGCAAUGGAGAGAAGACUGUCUCUUUACAUAUGCAAGAGGACUUGAUACUUACAUUUUGGUUGUUUCCCAGAUAAUGGAUGCAAUUGAGAACGAAACAAUGGUUCACAAAACCAUGAGCAUAUACAAUGUGGACCGUUCUGUUUGCGGUCGGAUUGCGGGAGUAAUUGCGAAGAAAUACGGAGACACUGGUUUUGCUGGACAACUGAACCUAACGUAAGCUGGGAUUCAGUAAACACAAAACAAACUUUGAGUAUAUAUAAUGAGAACCAACUUCCAUGAUCCACUACGUUACGUACCCCUACAGGUUCAAUGGAAGUGCUGGCCAAUCUUUUGCAUGUUUUCUAAGUCCUGGAAUGAAUAUACGUCUUGUGGGUGAAGCCAAUGACUACGUGGGAAAGGUGUGCCUCAAAAUCAAUGUUCUCUUUCUACAAUAUCUUCGAUAAAUAGUCUCUUAAUAACACUCUUUUGCCUCAAGGGAAUGGCCGGAGGUGAAGUUGUGAUAUUACCAGUGGAAUCGACUGGUUUUCUUCCUGAAGAUGCAACUAUUGUAGGAAACACUUGCCUGUAUGGUGCAACAGGUGGUUUACUAUUUGUAAGAGGCAAAGCAGGAGAGAGAUUUGCGGUUAGAAACUCUCUAGCUCAAGCUGUCGUUGAAGGCACAGGAGAUCACUGCUGUGAAUAUAUGACUGGUGGUUGUGUAGUUGUACUUGGCAAGUAAGUAAAAACACUGUCCUCAACCUCGACCACGAAACCAAAACGGGGAACGUAAGAGUGUGUUAACCGCCGAAUGUUUCUUGUCCGAAAUUGCAGAGUCGGUAGAAAUGUAGCUGCCGGGAUGACAGGUGGAUUGGCGUACAUUCUUGACGAGGACGACACUCUCCUCCCUAAGGUUUUAAUAUCACUAAACUCCUCUGAGUUUAUCCCGAAAGGUAUUUUCUUUUAAACGUUUUGUGAAACAUUGAAACAGGUCAACAAAGAGAUAGUGAAGAUCCAAAGAGUGACUUCACCAGUGGGACAAACACAACUUAAGAGCCUGAUCCAAGCUCAUGUGGUAACUAACUCUCUAUCUUUGCUUUCUCUUCGUACCUUCUCUAAUCAGAUGAUUUGGGUUUCAAUCUUCGAACCGUUUCUAUGUAAAAUAAAAAAACAGGAGAAAACAGGAAGCAGUAAAGGAGCAGCGAUUGUGGAGGAAUGGGACAAGUAUCUUGGAAUGUUCUGGCAACUUGUACCACCAAGUGAAGAAGAUACACCAGAAGCUAACUCCGACCACCACCUGAAAACAACCACAGGAGAGGAAGAACAAGUGUCAAACACAUUUGCAGUGUAGUUUCCCGAAGUGAUAAGAAGUAAAAACGAUUCAGAAUUGAUUGUAGUUUCUUCUUUGUACAGUCAAAGUCCUGAUGCAGAUGAGUCUCUCAGUUUCUGAGAUUACAUUACAAGUCCUCCAUUUGAUUUUGACAUGGUUUGUUUUCUUCUUUUCUAAUUCGGUCUGGAUUCGGUUAUCUUUGGGUUUACUUCAACCGGUCGAUGAUGAUAAUAAAAGGAAAUCCAGCAUGUUUGUACUUUUUUUAUGCAUUUGUUUUCGAGAUAACCAGUAUUAUAAAGAUUAUACAUAAUGGCUAUGUUCGAUUGCAUCGUUGAGAUCUGCAAUUCAAUGUGUUUAUGUAACAUUUUGAGAUCAAUCAUAAACGUGAAAAGUUAAAAAAAUUAAUCGCUAAAUCCCAAUUUUAAAAUUAUCAUCUUGCAACAAGCUGAUGUAAUCAGUCAUGUGAUAGCGAAACGAACAGCUUCUGUGUUUUUGACUUGUACCAAUAAAAUGUCUUCAGAUUUCCUAGUAAUGUACAUUGAACGUUCAGAAUUUGAUGCUACAAUUUCGUAAACCGAUACUUUUGUUAUUCCUACCAAUUAGAGGUAAUAGGCGUCACGAGAAAGGUACGUGUGUGUUGGUUGACAAAAACUCAGUUCAGUUUGAUGUUUAUUCCCUGUUGUUAUCAGCUCUCACGUGGUAAGCGUAACAGAGAUAGCUGACACGCGUGAACGUGCAUGUCCUAACGGCCAAUUUUGAUCGUGUCCCAAAAAAUGUUCCAUCUUUAAAUUAUAGAAAGUUCUUUAACGCUCAAAAUGCGAAAGUUCUUUAAGCACCAAAAGACACGUUCAUUGCAUCCCUUACCAAAAGACAGUACAUGUCAGAUUACUAAUUUUACCAAAACAAGAAAGAGUUUAAAGGAAACGAAAUGUGGGAAGUGAGUGUAAGUUCAUUGCAUGUACGAGUGAAAUCGUUACGUCCUCUCCUCCUUAACGAUACAUUGUAUUUUCUCUUUCCGUUUUAAUUAUUAAUUAUUCGUAGAUAAUUAAAGAAAAUUUUAAAAGAUAAGAAACAUUUAUCAACCACACAUUGUAUCAAAUAUUGCAACUUAUAAUUAGUCCCAAGAAUAAACGUACGUUUACAAACGUAACAAUCAACAAACUUUGAGACGUGUGGACAGGGCCGGAGUCUAGGCGAGUCCAUGCUUGUGACUUCAAUCUAUAGUAUGUUUUCUUGAUAUUGACAAUAUAAUAGAUCCACUGCUCGUCCACCUCAACACUACCACUGGCAUUGCCACCAAAAACGAAACUGAGAACUAUCACAACCACUGAUGAAACGAGAAACGGUCUAUGCGGAUGAGAACAAGAUGUCAAAGAAGCGAAGCUCAAAGUUAGAAGCAGCUGUUAGCGUGAACUGAUUCUUUUGUAGACAGGAAGUUUUGCCUAAGGUUCGUAAUUCAUUCGGGCGCGAAACCAUAAUAUGUAAUAUAGUCUCAAACGUUAAUCAAUCAUGUGACAUCAACAGUUUGGCGUUUUGCUAGUUGUGCUAACUACAUUCAAUCAAUCAUGCAAUCAAUCAUGUGAGAGAUUUCAAAAUAUGAACUAAACAGUUUUGUUCUAAAAUUUGAAAACAACAAAUAAAAGAAAACAAGCCUGAAGCAAACCAAAUUCAUCAAAAAGCAUUUAGGUAUUCAGUCUGCAUUCAACAACUAAUAAUGAAUAAUGAUACUAAAAGGGUUAGUAGACUGAAGUUCAAUUCAAAGGACCCACUAAACUUCCUAACAUAGAGUAUUGUUACAUUGAAGUUGAGUUCACAUGUCUCAAGACAAAGAGAAUAAAAAAUUAACUAAAGACCAUGGAGAAAACAAGAGAAACUUAAAUUAAAGACAGUUUCCAUGAAUUCUCGAAAUUGAACGCUUUGAGUAAUGGAGCGUAUAAUUAAAUUAAAUAUUGUUCCUUCGAUGUUUGGCAUUCGUUAUACCAAAUUAUUUGACAAAAUAAGAACUCGUACGCCGGUGUAUGUUUUUUUUUUGAAACUGAUUUUACGUCGUGUAUUCAGUCUUAGUUUUCUAUAGAGAACGAGUCGAGCAAGAAAUAAUUUAUUAGUUAAUGACGCAUUUUAUGUUAUCUUUGUCAUAUGGAUAGGAUACACAUUGUCUCACAUUCACUUUACAUCAGUAGAGUUAGUGUCACAGGAAGAAGAAGCACAGGUAGAGGAACCAAGAGGUGGAUAAGAGAUGGCUAAGUAGAUAAGCAUAAGCAUCAGCACCACCGGAAUUCCCAUCAGAAACAUUGGCGGCGGUGGAAGCGGCGGAAGAACGGCCGGAAGCACCACCAAAAUCACUAUCACCACUGCGAGCAUAAACAUUGCGAUGAUCCUUCUUGUACAAAAACGUGAAACUUCUCUAGUUCUUUCAAAGGCUUUCAAGUUUUCUUCAAUGUUCCUGCACAUAGAUGUGUGUGUAUAUAAUGUUAUGUUAAGAAAAAAAAAAUGUUUUGUACGUUUUUCUUUUUAUGUGUGUGAGAGAGAAAGACGUUACGGCUUACAGGUGAAGCUCAUGCAGUGAGUAUCACCAUUUGCCAAUUCAGUAUCCACCCAAUGACAAAACUAUCCUUAUUCUUUCUUUUUCAUUUACUUAUUUUUCAUCAAAAUUUCAACCAACUUGAUUUUGUUCUAAAUUUCACUUAUGGGAUCUUUGACACGAAGUAUCACCCAAAAUUACCAUUAAAUUACUAGAUUUGGUUUAUCAGUGACUUGUAAAUAGAUUUUUAUAUCAUUAUCUUUUAAAUUGAUAUCUUGUAAACAUUCCAUAUACACGUGAAAAUAUUGUUUGUGUAAAUAACGUGAUGUUUUCUUGAUUUUGUUAAAACACAAUAUUCUCUUCUUUUUAAAGAAAAAAUUAUCUCCAUAUUUAUAUAAAUGUCGUUUAAAAUUUGACACAUUUUAGUAAAAAUGAAAGGGAAUCAAACAAUUUUCCUAUUGUUAAUAAAUUUUGUUUAGUAAAUUGGCAUUUUAAUAAAGUUCCAUUCAAAGUAUACACAUUCUGUAGGAAGUUAUUUCCUUAAUUCAAAAAACUUUAUUUUGAAUAAGAUGUAUUUCCUUUAUUAUACAGAUCUUAUUUUAAGAUUAUAUUAUUCUAUAAAUAUUUAUUUGUGGUGACUAUUUGUAUUCUAUAGUAUUUUUAUUAUUUCAUUAUUUCAUUAAAUAUCAAAUGGUGUUUUCUAGUUUUAGAAUAAUAAAACAUAAUUUUAUAUGUUUAAACUCUGCAAUAUUAGCUAGCAAAUUUUAUAUAAUAAAACUGAGAGAGUGUUUCAAAAAUGUAUCAAAAACAAAAUUGGAAGAGUGUUAAUUUACUUACAGUUUCUCUACAAGGUUGUGUUUCAGAAAUUAUAAUUAUAUUCUAUUUUCUUAAAAUAAUUUUCCUAUUUUCUUGUCGACAUAUUGCUUUAUAUCCGUAAAUAUAUAUUCUUAAUCCGUUCUACAACGAAUGUUGAUUAUAUUUAUUAAUGUUUAAAAUUUUGUCAUUAUAUAUUUUGGAUACGACAACCAAAAAUUGUGGAAAUGAGAUCGAAAAUCACAUUUAACGAACCUACCAUGUCAAUAAAGAAGUUUUAAAUUGGGAUUUGAUUUAGAGCGGCGCCGACAAAGCAUUUAAACGGUUACAAUCGAAAACCAACAAUUUAUGAAUCUAACUUUUCAAUAAAAGAAAAUUUUAAAUUGAGAUUCGAUUUAAAACGGCGCUGACAUAAUCAGUAAAACGGUAACAAUCAAUAAUAAUUCAGAUUGGAUCGGACAAAAAAAAAAUUUAAUUAAAAUAAUUAUAAUGCAAAAGUUUUAGGUAUUCGAAUGCCGAUAUUCACUAAACAUUAAAAUUACAUUUAUUGUAUAACAUUUUGAAUUAGGGUUUUGAUGAUACAUGUUACAAUUCGUUUGAAUUAUAUCAGAUAUCUUUAGAUUGACAUAUCUUGAUACACAAAUCAAGUAUUAACCUAAUUACCAACAAGCUGAGGCUUUUUACGUCAAAAUUUAUUAAAUAUUUGAGUGGAAAAGUAGUUUAUAGAAUUAUAGUACAUCGUUUUAUAUUUUUCAUAGUUAUGUUUAUUCAUAGGUUAAAAAGUAUAUUUUCUCUGUCUUAGGCAUAAUAUCAGUUUUCUCCAACACUCGGUAAUAUAUAUUUUACUCUCUUUUAUUUACAUAUAUAUGAUUUAAAGUUUUUUGAGAAAAAAAAACUAUUUUCUUCUAAAAUUUUAGCAUUGAACUAAUUUAUGAAGCUACUUUUUAAUCGAAUAAUAUUGUUUGAUGAUUACUUAUGUUUCUCAGUUUGGCGCUUUGGUUUGAACAAAACAUGAACCAAUAAAAACAAGAUAAUUUUGAAAUUUAUAUAAAAAAGGGUCUUAAAGGUUCAACAAAUGGAUGCAAAUUCUCAAUAAAAUUCAAGAAAAUAGUACCAUACUUUAAUAUUGUAGUUUGUGUACUAAAUGAAUGGUUAAAAUGUGAUAUCUAAUCUAUUAAUUUAGAGUCCUACUUUUUAUCUACAUAAAAUAGUUGUCAUUUAAAUUUUGGACCUAUUCAAAUUUCAUUAGACAUUUAAGUUUUGGACGCCUUAUAUUAUUCUUUGGUACAACAAUACAUAUGUGUAGGAUAAACAGAAACGUUAAAUUCUAAACAUACGUGACUUUUGUUGAGAGAAUACAUACCGGAAGCAAAUUAUCAUUUCUCUACCAUGUUUCUUGCACAAUGGUGCAUAACCCAUUAACUGUUUAAUGUUGGUCUAAACUGAUACUAAAUCAGCACUAUAAUUCAAAAUCAAAAAUAGGUGAUGGUUCAAACGGAACCAUUCUCGUGAUGGCAAUGACAGUAAACAUAUACUAACCAAAGAAUGUUACUUUAGAUACAAUCAACUUCUCAUGAGAGUGAUAUUGAACAUAUUUAAUAAAUAAAAAAUUAUACAAAAUCUAAACAAUAAAUCAAAUUAUGAAGAAGUUUAAAAUAUUUAUCACAUAUAUUUAAACAAAUCUGACUUCCAAAUCCGGCAAUAUAUUUAAUAAAUCAAAACUUACUUAUCCUUUUUCAAAAAAAUUCAAAACUUCCUUAUGCAAAAUCUAAACAAUAAAUCAAAUAAUAAUAAAAGUAGAAUAUUUAAAAACUCGAAUUUUUUAGAAAAUUUAGUAACAAAAUUUCCAAAAAUUAAGAUUUUUUCUAAAAACAUCAAUAUUUUAUCACGAUAUUAGAUUAUAUAACCAAAUUUGUUAUACGGAUAAUGUGAGACUUUGGUGAAGAAAACAAUAAACAAAUACAUGUUUAUAAAAUAUUAAGGUUAAAUAUUUUUUAAAAUCAAAUAAAAAUAAACCCGCGUUUAGCGCGGAUAAUAGUCUAGUAAUGCUUUUAAAUAGAAAGACUACAUUAUUUGGAACAAUCAAAAUGUUUGUUUUUGAUGUGGAUAAUGCAGUUAUGUUUAUCUUUGGGUUACAAAUAAAGGUUUUGAAGAAAAUAAUAAAAUAGUUAGUGGCCUAUUCAACACUAAGAAAACAACUCAAUCAUUAAAAUUAUUACGAAAUGGCAAUCUAGUAUUUUCUUUUUCAUAUGAUCCGUUCAAUUAACACUUGUGUUGAUGUUCUAGCUAGGAAUUUAAUCACAACUCAAACUUAACUGAACUUGUUUUAUUGUUAUCAUAACUUUUUAAAACGCUUUGUUAUCCCUGAUAAAUACAUAUAUUUUAGCCGGCAAAAAAUAACAUUGUUAGCUUGGCUCGUUUAUUUGUUGUCCAUCGCUUUUCUCAUAGAUGCAUUCAUCCAUUCUUACCAAUGUAUAACAUUUAAUUUUCUUUUCUAAAUAACAUUUUUUUUUGUAUAUGGUUAUAGAUGUUUGUUUAAUCAUUUAAAAAAAAAAUAAUAUGUGUAAGGAUUUGUAUCGUCUCGUUCCUAAUGUCUUAUCCUAAACUAUUUUUAAAUUUAAUAUAUCAAUAGCAUUAUUUACUCUAUUUAAGAAGAUGUAUAUUUUGGUGUUUCUGCAUAUACUAAAAAUAUUAAAUUUGAUUAUAAAUAUAAUAUUUUUGGUAUACCAAUUUUUAUUAUAUUAAUCCAAAAUUUAAUAAACACAAUUAGUGUUAUAAAUUUAUAAUUUACCACUAAUGUUUAAUAAAAUACAUAGAAUAUUUCUUAUGAAACAAUUUUUAGAACAUUGAUCUUCAAAGAAAAUAUUAUCUAAAGCAGUAUACUACUUGACCAAUUAUUGUUUUAUAAUUUUUCAAAAAUUAUAAAAAUAUAGUUUCUCUGAUAUCAUUUUUAAGAAAUUUUUUAAAAUACACUAAGUUAGAUACUAUUUUCAAAAAUACAUUUAGGGUGUGAUUGGUUGAAGCUGUAACUUUCUAUUUUUUGCUCUAAGAUUUAGGCUUUAAAUUUUUAGCUUUGACUUUAAUUUAUUUUGCUGUAGAAUUUUUUUCAGAGCACUAAAUAAAAAGCUCUAGAGAAAGUGUUUUCUAAAGCUAACAUAUUUUCUAUUUUAAUGUUUUGGAUUUGGAUUCAAUUUUAAAAAUAAAAGCACGAUUGCUUUUAAAAAUGGAUGCAGAAAUUAAAAGUCUGUCUACAACUUCUAAAAUAAAAGCAUGAUUGCUUUAAAAGAUGGCUCUAGAAAUUAAAAAAGAUGUCCACAGCUUCUAAAUACACUACCAAUCACCCCCUUAACUAAUUUUUUAGGUUUAGUGAUUAUUGUUUAGGGUUUAGGUUUUGUGAUUAUUGUUUAGAGUUUAGUAUUUAGGAGGUGGAUAAUUUGAAAAUAUAAAUUAUUUAUAAAAAAAAUUCUCUAUAAUAAAUUUAAAAUAUUUAUGAAAAUGAUUAUUAUUUAUAAAUAAAUUUGAAAAUAGUAUAAAAUUUGAGAUAAAAUUAAAAUUUAAGGUAUUCGAUUUUAGAGGAAUUACGGAUUUUGAUCCAGAACCUUGUAAUAUUAAAAAAAAGGUUUGAAUUCUCCCGUCCUCUUCUGACACAGUCAAAACUAUCAUUCAAAUAAGAUUUUACCGUAUGUUAUAUGUCAAAAGUAAUAAGCUAAACUAGUAGAGUUAAAUCUGUAAUUUGGUUUAAACAUUUGCAUUGUAAAUAUAAAUAUUAUUUGUGAGAAAAUGAAAAAAGAAACGAGACAUUUGUCAUGAAAGAAAUCGAAGCAUUAAUGUCAUCUCUAAUUGUUACCAUCAUUUUUUUUUUCUCAAAAUGAGAUAAAUUCAAAAUAAAUUUACAUUUUUCUCUAACGGUUCUCCUCAUUUUUAUCCUCAAAAAGUAUAAUUUCAUUUUUUUUAUGUUUUUACUAUUUAUUAUUAAUUCUAAAUAAUGGUUAUUAUUUUAUAUAACUUACAAAUUUUACCCCAAAUCUUUACUACAAAUUCUAAAAAAAGAUAAAAAAGGGUUAUUUAAACUUAUAAUUAUGUUAUAAAAAUAAAUUUAAAAAAGGGUUAUUUAAACUUAUAAUUAUGUUAUAAAAAUAAAUUUGAAAAUUGUAUAAAAUUUGAGAUAAAAUUAAAACUUAUGGUAUUCAAUUUUAGAGGAUUUACGGGUUUUGAUCCAAAACCUCGUAAUAUUAAAAAAAAAAAAGGUUUGAAUUCUCCCAUCCUCUUCUAACACAAUCAAAACUAUCACUCAAAUAAGAUUUUACCAUAUGUUAUCUGUCAAAAGUAAUAAGCUAAACUAGUAGAGCUAAAUCUGUAAUUUGGUUUAAACAUUUGCAUUGUAAAUACAAAUAUUAUUUGUGAGAAAAUGAAAAAAGAAAGAGACAUUUUUCAUGAAAGAAAUCAAAGCACUAAUGUCAUCUCUAAUGGUUACCUUCAUUUUUUCCUCAAAAUGAGAUAAAUUCAAAAUAAGUUUACAUUUUACUCCAAUGGUUCUCUUCUUUUUUCUCCUAAAAAAAUUUCAAAUAUAUUAUGUUUUUACUAUUUAUUACUAAUUCUAAAUAAUGGUUAUUAUUUUAUAUAACUUACAAAUUUUACCCAAAAUCUUUACUACAAAUUUUACUACAAAUUCUAAAAAAGAUACAAGUGUUUAUUUAAACUUAUAAUUAUAUUAUGAAAGUAUUAAUAAUUUUUUUAAACUAUAAAACAAAUCUUGAGUUUUUAAGAUAUAAAACAAAAUUAUAUAAAAAUUUAAAGACUAAUUUAUAAAUUAAAAGGCUAAACACAAAAUAAUUUACUAUUGGAAAAUAUUUUCCCCAUUUUCUGAUGUCCCUCAGAAUGAGGGACUAUUGGAGAUAGUCUGAUCAACUAAAUAAACCAAUUUGUUAAAACAAGAGGAAGAGCUUGCGUGUUACAAAUUAAAAUCCGAAAUCAAUUUUGACCAUAUUCUAAGAAUCUAAUUGUGUGUCAAGGACUAAUGAAUAGAUGGCACAUCCGUCGUUUGACUCUGUCUCCCGGACAUCAAAGGACGAUUCCCUAGUUUUCCAGUGCGUGAUAAUUGUGAUUAACAUAUGUGGGCUCCACUCCACACUAAACCCACGUAAAAAUAAUUACUCCAUCCGUCUUUUAAUAUAAGUCGUUUUAACAUUAUGCACAUAGAUUAAAAAAUCAUUAAUUUUUUAUAUUUUUAAAUAAAAACAUCAUUAAUUAUUUAUCUAACCACAAAUCAACCAAUAAUAAAAUAGAAAGAUAUAUUAUCAUUAGUCAUAUAACAUUAAGUGUUAAUAAAUUUUACAUAAAAAAAACCGAAAAACGGCAUAUAAUUUGGAACAUAACAAAUUUUUUAAAACGACUUAUAUUAAAAAAUUGAAGGAAUAUUGUUUUACAAACAAAAAUUAUUAGAUAAACAAGCAGAUAGAGAUGGUAAAUGUAUCAAUAAUAAACAAGUAUAAUAAUAAUAAUAAAUAGUUUUCAUUAUGAAUGUUUUUGGUACCAAAUUGCGGUGUUGCAUUGAUCUGGACUACCUAUAUUUUCAUCAGUAUUAGCAUCUCCAAUUCCACUCUAUUUUCCCUUUUAAAAUAGAGUUUAGAGUAAAAAUGUUCUAAUGGUAUUUUAUUUUUUACUCUAUAAUAGUGUAAACUUAUUUUUUACUCUAUACAUAGUGUAAUUUUUUAUUUUUUUGUUCAUCAUUCUAUUUUUCACUCUAAAAUAGAGUACCAUUAGAGCAACAUUCAACUCUAUUAUAGAGUUACUCUAUUCGGAGGAAAAAAUAGAGUAUAAUGGAGAUGGUCUUAGUAUUAUCAUACAUUGGUUCAGAUCCAAUAUCAAGUCUAGCAUUUAACCUCUUGGGUUCUUUCUUAGGCAUCUUAUGGUUUUUAAAACAGUUUCAACUUCAUUUCAUUUUAUAUUUUAAAUUUUCUUACCGAGUAGUUUUUUUCUCUAACAUUCUUUUAUUUUAAAUUUCAAACUAAAUUUGUUUAAAAAUUGAAUAAUCGUAUUUACCUUUUCUUCUUCAUUCAUCAUACUAUUCUAUACUCUUAAGUUCAAUUUCAGUUCGUAUUCACCACCUAGUUUUAUUUUAUUUUAUUUUGAGCAACAAACAAAACAGAAAAAUACAAUAAAAAUAUUUUUAUAACUAAAAUGGUACUUUUAACGGCAAUGAUUCACCAAUUUUGGUUUGGUUAAUUUUUGAUUUAAAAUAUACCGUUAUGUCGUCUAAAAUGUCAAUAUUUUAAUUUGCGGAGAAAAUCUUCAGUAUAGGUUAAGAAGAAAAAUUACAUACAUACUAUAAGAGCAUCUCCAAAAAACACUCUAUUUUGAAGUUUCUAAAACACUAUAUUUAAAGUUUAAAGAUGUUGUUCUCCAAAAGCAAAACUUCAAACUUAACUUCAAAAUUAUUUGUAUUUUAUAUUAUGGUCCUUAUAUUUGUCAUAACUAAUUUAAAUUCAUAAAACUUUUAGUAACACAUAUAUAAAUUAUUACAACAAUAUUAAUUAGUAAAAUAUUGUAUUAAAAUAUAAAACUUUAAAUAGAAAUAAUAUAAUUAAUGUUAAACUUCAAGAAAAAUACCAUAAGAUUUCAUAAAAUUAUUUUUGUAAAGCAUAUACGAUCAUCUAGUGCAUUUCGAAGUUAAAAUGACUCUUUUUAUUUUAAAUUUAUAGAUUAAGAGCUAAAAAUUGUUGAAAUCAGGUGAUAUUAAAACUUGUAAAUACAUUAGAUCUGAAAAAGAAAGUAAAAGAGGAAAAGAAAAUAUUGCUAAGAUACUUAACUUCUAUCGAUGAUAUCAAUAUUCGUGAAUACAUUCGAUCUAAACAAGAAAGAACUGUGCGAAAAUACAUUAAAAACAACAACAACUAUCUUCGGUUACAUAAAAUUUGUUUGGACAAUAUUUUGGAGAUUUUGGAGGUUCCGGACCAAAUUUACGUGACUAUUAGUGUUGUUGAUAUUUAAAUUUGUGAAAUAGUUAUGUUUUCAUGUAAUUUUUAAAAGUCUUUGUGCUAGGUUUCUUUUUUAUAUUGUUGUUGUCUAGUUUAAAUCUUAUUUUAAAAUUUUAUUUAAUUUUAUGCGUAAAAAUUAAAUUUUUAAAAAAAAAUUAAAAUAUUUAUGAGAUACAAAUCUUUUAAGGAUUAAAACGAUAAACGAAAAAAUAUUUAAGAAUUAAAUUUGAAGUUUCUAUUUGGAAAGCAAAAAAACUUCAAAUGGCUUCUAUUUAAUUUAAAAAAAAAUCUUAUACAAGUCGUGUUGUCGCGCUUAUAAGAAGUAAUAAAAAAUAAAACAAAAGAAGGAAAGAAAAAAAUCAAAGAAAGGUAACUAAAUUUAUACGAAAUCAUUCAAAAUAAACUCGGAGAUCUAUCAGUCACAUGAGAUGAUCUUACUUGCACGAAACUAAAAGCUCUUAAUCUGCUUCUUACACAUGCAUAUAUAGACACACUUAUACAUAAUUGUUUAAUGCAUAUAUAAAUGUACGGUCGGUGCUGAAGUCGGCGAACAUCACUCAUCAGGGGUCGAGAGGUUCUACUUCCACGGUGAGGCUAGGCUCAUUAGAAGGAGAAAAAGCCAAGAAAAUGAGGAGAAUCAUGAGCAGAAGAGGGAGAAGGAGGAGCGUCGAUGGAGGCGGUGGAAGCGGCGGUAGGAACGGUGGCAAAAUCAGAAGGAACAGACAGAGAAAGAGAAUAACUGCGACGGAUCUCGCCGUGAUAAAAGAAAUUCCGGGCAAACUCAUUGUUGGCUUGGGUGUGACUUCGAAUCUCAGCCGGUGAUUAUGUACCCUCAUUAUCCAUUAGUAUGUUUAUCAAAGCAAUUUUUUAAUGACUUUGAUCCUUUUGCCUUUGUGCCUGCCUCUAAUUAUAUAGUGGGCAAUUGGCAAAGUUGGAAUAUCUGUUUAUAAUAUGUGUGUAUACGUAUGUAUAUCCGGUUUAUUUUACCCCCAAAAAUGUAAAUAUUUUUCCAUAUUUAGUAGUAACACAUUGCUACUAAUUUUUUUAAUUUUAUUUUAUGAGUAUAUCAAACAGUUUUGGUAUACAUGAUUUGUUGAUACAUAUUAUUAUUUUCUCUAUUUCAAUAUUAAGAUUUUGAAGAUUUUUUAUUUUCCUAAUGUAAUUUGUUUUCAAAAUCUGCUUUAAAAAUUAAUUAACUAAUUAAUAUUUAUUUUUUAAAAAAUUAAAGUAAAAACUUGAAACAUGAUUAUUAUUGACUCUUUUUGUUCUUUAAUCAAAUACGAAAGACAAAGUGCUGUUUUUUAAUAAAAUAUAAAAAAUGAUAUGUUUAUUUUUAAUUAAAAUAAUUUAUAGAUUGCAAUAGAGGGAGUUGUGAUUUGUUUUUGACGUGUUGCAAUAUUACGCUUUUAACUUUUAUCGUUGAUUUUAUGUAUAUGUAACUAGAUUUUGAUCUAUCCUUAAAAGAGUGUUAAAAGAACAUGUAUAUUUUUUGUUUUACAAUUUUUUUUAGAAAUUUAAUUUUUUUAUUUAUGUUUUUAGUCAUAUUUCUGUUAAAUGAUUAAUAAUUUUUUAAUAAUUAUAUUAAAAUAGUUGGACCAUACCUAUAUCGAUAUGCUACGUUGCUGUUUUAAUAGAAUAGAUACACUGUAAUAGCCAUUUUCUAGCGUUAAUAAAUUGAUCCUGUCCAAUUAAAUAAAAAGGGAUUUCCGAUGACCAAGUUCCAAUAUGCAGUAUACUAAUAAAUAUUUUAUAGGUUAUACUUAUAACCCACAGAAAAAGUCAGACUAAUUAGUUACGAAAUUUAUUAUUUUGCAUUAGGGGGGAUAUAAAUGCAUGUCAAGAAAUGUGCAAAAAGAGUAAUUCCAAAGUACCGGUUUCAUGCCACAGCUGUGGUAUCACUGAUAUGUCCUGAUUCAAGUAAUCAACCAAUUUCACUCUCCUGCCUCGUUUGUUGCUUCAACCAUAAUUGUGGUAUAAGUAAAUCGUAUGAUGUUGUUAAAAACAAAAGUAAAUUGUUUGCUAAAUAUUACAAUAUGUUUGCUUGUAUGUGUUAAUUGAAAUAAGCAUUCUGUAACGGAUAAAAUUCUUUUCUAUUUUGACCCAACAAAAAAAUAUUUAAUUUAGUGACAUGGCUAUUCUUUGCAUCGAAAUUUCUAGAAGAAUAAAAGCUAAGCAAAUAUUUUAACGAGGCAACGAGAAUAGGUAGAUGCAUGAACAUCCCCAAAAGCUUUAGGUAGAUAUUAUAGGUAAGUUGACGGUGACCGGAGGCUGAUGCACUUUUCUGUACAUAGUUUUCGUAGUUCCCAAGGAGGUUCUUUGUCUUAAUUCUCCUUCUUGAGAAAAUCACAAACUACAUAUUAGGCCUGAACGUUUUUAACUCAACCCGAAGUACCGAUCUUAACCCGAACCAGAAAAACCGAAACCGAAUCCGAACUGUUUAACAAAAAUAUUCGAAUGGGACUAAUGAGCUUACUACUUUGAAUUUUGGUUAUAACUCAAACCGAACCGAAAUCCAAUAUAACAUCAUAUAGUAUUAUACUAAAGUUUACAAGAUAAUAUAUUAUAUACUACACUAGCAAAUAGUUUAUGCGUCCCUAUGUGUUUUACUAUCACAUAGAAACACAAACAUGACAAAAGUUGAUGGUCUACUAGUUUCAUAUCUUUUAUGUAAUUCUCAGCUUGACUGCUUUCCAUGGUGGGACUUUGAAAGUGGACAUAUGAGUAUAUAACCAUUAGCCCAAAUGAAAAAGAACGAGCAUAAACAUAGUUAACACAAUUUCUUUUUGUAAGUACGGGAUAUUUGAUCUGAACGAUAGCCGAAAACGUCAUGAGAACAACACAAUGAUGUGUUUUCAAAUAUAAAGCAAGUUGGAUCAUGCAGGUAAAAAAAUUGAAAAUUCCAUUUCUAAUAUACAUUUUGAAUUUGAAGAAUGCAUUGCACCUAACUGCACUAUUUUAAAUGUUUUCCUUGGGGAUUUGGCAUUUACUUUCUUUGUUAUUAUCAUUUGACCACUAUUUUUUUUUGAUAACUUAGGUGAUAUGAUUCGAACACCCAACUAAUUUUAGAAGUCGGUGAAAACCUUAUUUCCAUGUGUGUGACAAAUACGAAAAGUAGGUUUCGAACUCGAAACGCUCAACACUUUUCCGGAAUCAACAUACCACUCGACCACGACCGUGUGGGAUUUGACGACAGGUUGUUUUCAACUUCUUUUCUAUUUCAAGUAGCUUCCUUUUAUGGUCACCUUGUUCCCAACUUUGCAGGCUUUACAGCUUCGUUGAUCGACCCAGAAAAGUUAUAUUCCCUUUCGCAGUUUUUUGUUACAACAAAAACAAUAAGUCAAUCGUGAGAAACAUUUUUUUGUCAUCUUUGAAUUUCAUUUAACUUAAACGGAAGUACCAUCAUUACAAGCCAAAAGUCGACAAGUCGCAACUCUUUCGAAGACCAAAGCCGGAGAGUUCACAGAUCGAACAUCCUAGAGACCCAAAUUUAAAAACAUAAAUAGAACUAUUACUUUAGAGACUACCACAAGCAAAUGAUAAUGACUUGAAAUACUUAAUGAUCAAAGGAACUCAAACCGAAAUCCAUAGCAACACCAGGUCGCCAAUCAUAACCAAGAACCUGAAGACGCAUGAGUUGAACUCAGAAACAAAGACUUGAGAAGACCACAAUCCAUCACAGGUCACAACCACAACCUCACGAGAAAAAACACCGGCGGAAACAAUCAAAAACUGAAGCGCAAACGGAGCCAAUAACAACCACUAACACGUCUGCAAUAAGACCACACGCAACCCAAGAGAGGAAAGACACAAGGUUGAACCUUGAAACUCCAAGCGGGGAAAACGUCUAAAAGGAUCAGCAGCUCUUGCACGCGAGUGGUCACAUCCUCGCAAGAGAGAAGAGCGGAAGAUCGAACCCAUUGCUUCGUCUUGAUACCUCACACCAUACAGAGGAAGCAAGUAGAUGCCAACGUACCAUCCAAUAGACGAACCCAACAAAAGAGACCGUGAAAAACACAGAUUACCAACAACUCACGAGAACGAAGAGAAGCUGGAGCACACCUGAUCAAAAGCUACGACCAAAGAAAGAAGAUCGGCUUAAAGACACCAAGUCCGGAACAUAUAGCCUCCCCAUAUCCUAACCCGUUGAGAAGGCACUUCCACACCACUAAACUUCAAAGGAAGACAAGCCACAACCCCAGCCACACAAGACGAUUAACUAUCAUUAACCCAAAGCUAAGAGCGCCACAAAGGAGAACAUCCAGAGCUGAGAGAUUCAUGACCACGACUGAAGAACAGGACCAAAAGUAUAGAAAGACAGAUCUGAAAAAACCCCAAUCUAAAGAGAGAGGAAAACUACGAAGCAUAUUGACCGUAAGAUCUGAAAACCCAUAACCUCUGGCUUAAAAAUCACUCUCCACACUCCUCUGUUCACCUUCACGGCGGAUUCCUAGCCCUUCCUAGAUCGAACGGAAACUACAUAUAAGACAAGAGCAAACAAACAGAUCUAAAGAAAUUAAAAUGCAAGAGACCCGACUCCAGUGCUGUAGGAGCCACCGGAGUGGAUCAGCGGCGGCCACAAACGGAGGACUAGGUGUUAGGGCGAACUCGAGGCGAGCUAAUUAAUCUUUUCUCGUCUCCGUCUGUUUUGCCAACCGCUCUAGUUCCUUGAUCGUGAGAUACAUUAAACAUAGACAUAAUGUUUAAUCAUUUCCACAAUCCUUUUGUCCUUUUUAACAACGGAUUGUACAUUCGGAAAUAUAUUUGACCAUAUCAUAUUAUAGUCUUAAGGCAGUACAAAUAAUUUACAAACAGUAUACCUAAAUAAAUUAAAUCUACAUUUGUACAAA